UUUUUUUUUUUUUUUUUGGUUGCAGAUUUUACAACAAUGCUUUCUAUGCAAAAGUGGGAGGAAUUAGCGCAAUGGAGAUGAACCUCCUGGAGAUGGACUUCUUGUUUGGGCUGGGCUUCCAGUUAAACGUGACGCCCACCACAUUCUACACCUACUCCUCUUUUAUCCAAAGACAGAGUUGGCUUGCCUGUCCUCCUCUAUCACGACUACAACCUUCAACGCCCAACAGUUCGACGCCGCCAAGUCUCCAUCGUUGCGUCAGUUCUGCUCACCGACAACAACAGUUAACCGUUUGAUCAAUAAUUCGAGAGACAAAAUAUUUUGGAUCUACCCACCACCGGACGACCAGAAAUCGAAUUUCCAAGGCACCAGAGAUGAAAAUUCUCGAAUCUCUACUGUUUUCUUUUCUACUGGAAAGACUCUCGUCAUUUUGGUUCUAGGUUGUGAAUUAAUCAUGUCUGAUACUCUGCAGUUUUUGUGCUGUCUUAUUGGCUCUCGGGGAUUUAUAAUUUUGUUUUCUCAAUGUACAUACACUCACUUCAAUCAGCUGCUCCUUUUACCGAAAAUAGAUUUGAUUUCAUUGGCAUGCGUAAAUAUAUAAGAGAUAAAGAAGAAUGGAACAGACCAAGUUAAUCAGUCGGAGUACAAGUUACAGCAGUAGUAUUUUUCUGAAUUUGCAGUGUAGGAUCAUGAGCGAAAAAAUUCAAACAUAAAAAUGAAGGGUCCUAAUGUUUUUCAUGGGAUGCAGUAGAAAGAUCAUUUGCAUUCUGUAGAGAAGUUGGCGUCAAACUCAGCUGGAAAAACUGUAUCUCAAUCUGAUGCAAUGUGCAAUUAACCCGAGUCAAAGAUAGCAUAUCAUGCAUGGCUAGCUGCUAAGUGAGAUUGUGCUAGUAGAAUUUCAAUUUCGGAAUCAGCCAUAAAGUAGUCAACCUUCAAAUUGACCAUACCCCCCAGCCGAUCAUUAAUCUUUGACGUGUAAGGUGUUAUUGGCUAGCCUAAUGUUAUUGUCUAGGGCUAGUAGUGCAAUUUGUGCCUACAUUUAGAUAUUCUUGGUAAUAAAUAAGGUAAAAUUGUAAAAGGCUUUUGAUCCCAACUGUUUGGAGUUUUAGGAGUUUUUAGUACCUAAAGUAUGGAGGAAAACAAAUAUAAUCCUAAAUGUUUCGAUUUUUAUGCACAUUUAAUCAUAAUGACUGAUUUUUACCAAUUACUACCUGAAUCUAGUAAUGCGCCAACAACUAAUUUUUUUUAAAAAAAAUUAAAAAUUCAAUAAAAAAAAUUGGUAGCUAUAGUUUAUAAUAGAACAAACUAAUUACUCAUAUGUUGGUAACGUGAAUAAUUAGUCUUUAACCUAAAUUUUUUUUUUGCCAACUAAAGUCUUGUAUUUCUGGACUAAAGUCUAAUUGCUCACGUAAUUGGCAUGCAAGUAAUUAGUCGUCUUUUACUACAAAUUAUGUUCAAUAAUAUUUAUUUAAUUUUUUUUAAAAUUUGGUUGCAGGUACGUAAGUGUGUUUGGAUUGUCAUAAUCUGGUCAAAAAUUAUUUGCUUGUAUUACAAAUACAAUUUCUAACGCACCUUCUUAUCUGUUCAAUCAUCUUUUUAACUCACAUAAUCACAUCACAAAAACUGUUAUAGUAAUUAUUUCAAAUAAUCUCCAAUCCAAACACUCUUCACAAUCGGGUUCCAAUAGUAAUUGAUAAAAAUUAGUCAAGGCAAUUAAAUAUACUUAGAGAUGGGAACAUUUGUAACUACAUUUACUUUUUUCCAAACUUUAAAGAUUAGGAGCAUUGGUGCCCCUAAAUACGCAACGGAUCUUCUGUCCCACACCCUGUGCCACUCUAUCUCCCAUUUUUUAUUAUAUUGCUAUUUCUCCUAUAUAAACAUCACAUUUUAGUUCUUUUUUGUUUGCUUAAGAUCCAAUAACUAUUAAUUGAGUAAUACACAAUAUUUAACAAACUCAAAAAACCAAAAUGCAUAAAAAUGAGAUUUUUUAUGAAUUUUCUGCUGUAUUUUUUAAUUUUCUAUUAUAUAUUACUUUUUUGAAGCUACUGUAUUUAUAUUUUACUCAAUUAAUAGUUAUUGGAUCUUAAGUAAACAAAAAAAGAACUAAAAUGUGAUGUUUAUAUAGGAGAAAUAGCAAUAUAAUAAAAAAUGAGACAUAGAGUGGCACAGGGUGUGUGGGAUAGAAGAUCGGUUGUGCCCUAAAUAUUAGGGAAUAAAACUGCAUCUCUCUCUCUUUGUUUUUACCAAGGGACUUGGAAGGCUGACACAAAAUAGGGCUCUGGGUGUCCAAAGAAGUACACUAAUACACAAUUUUAAAACACAUACCACAUCCACCGUAGGUGUCAACAUAACACAGGAACAGAGAGGGAAGAAUUCAGACAAAUAUGUAGAUAAUCUUUAACACCGAUAGUUCACACUAUUAAGACAGUCACUUGAGCACAAAGGAUGCAGACAGACCGUUGCACGUGAAUACAGUUCUCACACCGUAGAUGCAUUACACACACACACAAUUGAACCAUUAUGGUCCUGGAGAAAUUUGUAGACGCAGACCCCAGAACGAUUUCUUUACGCAUGGGUGUUUUUUUGCCUAGAAGUAGAUGGCGAUCGAACCUCAGAAGCCCCUGAGCUGUCGCUACCUGUUGCAUGGCCACCGGCACCACCUCCAGCGCCAUAACCAUAUCCACCUCCACCUCCAACGGCACCGCCUCCACCGAAACCAUAGCCGUAUCCAGAUCCUGAACCGCUGCCUGAACCCCAACCAAAGCCGGAACCCCUGCCAAACCCAUUGGGCGAACGCCCUGAACCAGAGCCAUAACCCCAUCCAGCUCCAGGGCUGGAACCCCAUCCCCAGUUGUAGUCCCAGUUUGAGCCAUGACCCGAGCCUGUUGCUCCUGAUGGACUCUCCGUUGAGCUUGGACCGCCACUGCUGCUAGGACUACUAGCGACGACUUCGGCAGGGUGUGGCUUCUCGUCUCCUGCUUUACCACCUGUACUGAACGCCCAAGAGUGGCAUGAGAUGGAGAAGAGAAGAACCAGAGCAAAUUGGAAAACGAUCGAUUUCAUUUUUUUGGUCUGUGACAAGUAAAAUCGGGUUUCUUUCUUGCUACAAAGUGUGGAAAGAUAGCUGACUUUUUAUCUAAUUUUGGGUGGCAUGCAGUUGAUUGCGGCCUUUUAUAGUGCAUUAGGAGGACUAGAGUGGGGUAUCUGUGUUGGAUUCUUGGUGUUGACAACUGACAUCAACCUUCUAACACUCCCGUGAAUGCUAGAGCCAGCCAGUGGGGUAUUUGUGUUGGGAUUUUUGGUGUAGGGACUGUAGACAGUUGACAUGAACCUUCAAUCGCUCCCGUGAUCGUGGUGAUGCUAGAGCCUAGAGCCAGCCCCUGGGCCACUUGUCGACGUCCGAUACUCUUCUGCUAGAAAGUUUGAAUUCUCUGCACCUCACUUUGUUUCGCCCGAGUCUGCCAACUUAACUAUAAAGAGUCAUGCAUUUUUAGAUUUUAAAACAGAAAUUUCACCGUAUAAUCAUAUCUCUAUUUUCAAAUUGCAUUGCAGCAGGCCAACAGUAAAGUAACUGUGAAUUCUUCUUCUGCGUCUAGUAUCUCUUCAAAAGAAUAAAAAUUUCAUCCAGUCUCUUUUGCAUAUGAGCAGCCUCGUUUUAGUGUAAAACCAAACCGUAAGAAUGCAAAUUUAUUUGUUCUCAUCCCCAUUUAGCAGUCAGUCUAUCCUCAGCGCAGACUACAACUCCCCGUCACUCAUUCAGAACCCGAAGAAGAAUAGAUGGGCGCACCUUAGAGGGGCAUCUUGGUCAUUUACUGUUCGAAGACGCACAUUAAUUUUUCACACAAGGGUAUGAGGUGCUCAAUAAAUAAAUCGAGGAGGAAAACAUGGGAGGAAACUUUCGAACUGUAAUGGGCUGAUGGGGCCUGCAACUUUUAACCGUCCAGCUCUAUAACACCGUGUACACGUGGCACCGCAAGAAAAACACGAGGAACAGCAGAACUAAUUAUGCACAUCACUUUCUAUCGCACUAUGAUAAAAGUCGGCUGAAUUAAGAAGUUAUAUAUUGAAAAUGGAUUGGUAGCUGCUUGGAUUUUGACAGAACCUUGAUUGGCACAGACAGAUAACAGCACAUUUGUAUAUGCUGAAUGCUGACACGCAAACCCAAAAUAAUCCCACUAUAUUGAUAUGUUUGCGUUCGUUUUCAUCCAUUUCCUGGAUCCCAUUACAAGAGCUUUUGCAUUACAGGAUCAUUUUAACAGUUUAGAUGUACCUAUUUUUUUCCAAUUAAGAUAAAAGCCUGUUUCUGUUUCUGAAAUCUAAACAAUCACAUAUUGUGUUUGGACAUAAGAUUAUUUGGAAAAAUUCUUUUUAAAAACUUUUCCAACAAGGAUAAGGCGCUACCAUUUCUGAAGUCUGAACAAGAUGUGAAACGCUUAAAAGAAUUGAGUUCUUAAGUGCAGGCAGGCUCGGAAGAAUUGUGGCUCAUUUUCCAGUUUCCACCCUCCACCAGGGACAGAGAGUAUGCUUGGAGCAAAAAGAACCCGGAGGAGGGAGGGAGGGAGGGAGGGAAGGACGACAGAUUUGCGUUUGUCGUACGUAGAAGGAUCAUCAAUUCGCUGCCAUCAAGAAUUUCCUUAAAGGCAUUGGUCCUCUUUAGGGAAACAACAAAGGGUUCAGAAAUUUCAUCAUACAGGGUAUAAGAUUUAUCGUUAAGAUAAGACAAUUAACAUCACUUGUUUAGCAAUCUUCCAAGAAUUUUUGAAGAAUUAUUGUAACACUUUUUUAGAGUGUAAUGCAUGCAAAGUAGAAAGUAACUAAAAAAGUGUAAAAAAAUAAAAAUAAAAAUAAAAAUAAAAAUUCGCGGACAGCUAAACUGAGACUGCAAUUUGCAGUCCACAAUUCAUAUCAUUGUCCGCAAGUUACCGCUGAGCCCAGUACUGAGAGGUCAAGAAUACGCCAACAAUUUCUUGGUUAUCACUUACGCCUAUCUUUGACCUCCUGCCUUUUCGCAAGUCAAAAUUCUCACAAUCACUUGUUCGAAGCUUUUGGAGCAAAAAAUGAAGAUGAUAAUAAAUUGAUAGUAUUUUAAAGGCUACAAUCCUGCCAUGAAGGUCACUAGGCCAGAAAACAUUCCCAAAUAUAAUCUCAAACUUGAAUUAUUCCGAUCAUCAUCAGAAAAAUGGUUUUCUCAUCCACAACCAACAAAGGGUUGUGUCCAAUGGUGUCCUAAGAUUUACUUGUAUAUCGUCCUUUGAUGAUCUUCCCACAAUAUACUGAACAUACAAAAUGUAAAAGAGCAAAACCUGCCGACACUAGCAAUAGCCAGGAUCAUCACAAACAAUGAAAAGGAUAUCAAAUGUAAAAGAUUUUUGGCAAAUCAAGAAAGCUUAAGAGAAAAAAAUGUAUUCCUACGCAGAUUGAAAUGAUUUUUUUUGAAAAAAAGCAAAAACAAGAACAAAAGAUACAAAAUGAACUCGAUCGAUAAAUGUGAUUCAGAAGCAUAAAGUUGAGUACAUCACUCGAAAUACUGAUUUCUCAGUCCAAGUGUUGGAAUGUUAAAUUACUGCUUCAUCCUCAUCUCAUCAAAAUAUUAACAUCACAAUAUGAAGUACACAAAAUAAAUAGGAGGAAAUAUUUUUUACAAGGACUCUUCUGGAAAUUUUUUUUAAAAGAACAAAAAUUUGGGGAGAAAAAGGAUUACUCAGUGAUGGCAAUGUUUAGUGAUUGGUUCGAUUCUGCCAGCAGUGUCCUCAACUUUUAAUCAGAAGAGGGAGCUUUGCUAUCCUCAUCGCAUCCUUUCAUUUCCCAAACUAAAUUCAGAAAAAGAAUAGAACAUAAAAAAGUCAUCACUAGAGUUGUUAAAAAAAAACGUAGAGAUCGCUCGGUUCAGCGGGGUUAUCGACACGCGAGAAUCUCCAUAGAAAUAUAAAGAAACCCGCUUUCCGGUCUGUUGAGCUUGAAAAUUUGUGAGUCGUCACAGCGAUCUAAUCUUUGUACUGUUGACAUCAUGCAAUCGAAAAAUUACUCUUAUAUUGCUGAUAUCAUUGAAUCGAAAACUCGUAGUAGAUAGAAAAAAAACUGAAAUCAAAACCAAAACACCAAUAUAACCAGAGAAAAACCGUAAUUUGGAGGCAGUGGUGAUGAAACCGAAAGCUCUAAUUCACAAAAACAGUAAUUUGGAGGCAGGAAUGAUGAAACUGAAAGCCCUAAUCGGCAGUUUUAAGCUAGUGAAAGGAAACCAAAGAGAGUCGCAGCAGCGUAGAAACAGUGUGUGUGCUACGCUCUGGCUGCAUAUUUAUAGGAAGAUUUGGCUAGGGUUUUGCUACAAUCAGGGGAGCUUAUUUCCACAUUCCCCCUUCAACUUAUUGACAAUUGUGGAUUUCCUAAUGUUUGCAGUUUGGGUUAAUUUCAAUUGACUCCCACGUAAUUUUGGUAAACGUCUAAUAGGCCCUUUGAGUUGUUAAAAGUUAUCUUCAACCGUUUAAUUCCGUUAUUCGGGCAAAUUAAACUGGCCCAUCUGUUAAUCACUUCUGUUUCUUUAUGAUGUACCAUAAUUCAAUUAUUUUAAAAAGAAGAAUUACAUCCCAGUACGCUUUUACUAUGAGUAUAGCUUACAUCUUAUAUAGUUAUUGUGUUUAAAAGAGAGCAUAUGAUGUUAGGAAGAAAGAAUCCAUUAAAGUAAAUAUAAAAUUCAAAACUCUAUUAAAGAAAUUAAUGAGUGUGUUUGGAUAAAAAUUAUUUACAAUUCAAUCAACUUUUUUAUUUUUUUUUAACUUUUUUAUAUCUCGCAUACAUCGAAUCAUAAAAGGUAAUUUUGCAAAUGAUGUUAUUUCGAAUAAUCUCCUCUCUAAUAUCAAACCAAAAAUGGGGUGGAUCUCAACCCAAUGGGCCUAGUAGAACUUUCAUAAGAAGCCCAAGAUCAGAACCAUAGUCAAACAAGCCUAGAAGUCCAUAGAUACUCAACUCCAUUUUUUGUUCUUUACGUUAACGAUAAUAUUUUUAUAAUUUAAUCUAUUUUAAUCUACAUAGAGGAGAAUCUAAAGAAACUGUGUAUAAGAGACUAGUAGGUAUAAGAACCUGAUUAAAUUAAAGGGAUAUUCUGACGUCUCCUUUGAAUUUUUUUUACUGUAGGUGAAAUUCUAACCACUGACCUACAACUCAAGGAAGGAUUUAAUCCUUUUUUGUGACCUCUGAACCAAAGUUUAGUGAUUUAUAGACAAACUCCUGGUGAGCAAGAAAUGAAGGUGUGAUGAAGAAAAUCAAAAGAAAAAAGAGAGAGAGAGAGAGAGAUGCAAUGCAAUGAAGGGAGGAGUACGUACAACAUACCAUGUACAGGGACGAAAGGGCAGCAGCGGAAUGGUCUCCUCACUGACCUUUUCUAUUGCAAUUAUGAAAAGCUCGUUAUAUAAGUUCCUUACUUCUUAUUUUUUCACCUCUGAAAUUGUUCUUGCUUUGCUUACUCCGGUAUGUAUAGUAGAAGCAAGCAAGCAAGCACCCAAUCAAUUCAUGGAGGAAGGUGGAUGCUGGAUCUUCCAUCGCCUGUUUUUCACACGACAAAGAAUUAUGCCGUCGGAUAGAGUUGAAGGAAGCAAUCACAUUAAGUGCAUUUUGGACAAUUUGGGAGGAGCCACGCCACCUUGGAAGUUGGAACCCUACCUCCACUCAAUAAUCGAUUGCACCAUUUUCCUAUUUUUAGAGCAAAAACAUUUUUCUGUUUUUAAUUUCCCCAAUAUGUCUCAGACAUAAAACAAAUAAUGUGAAACAUCUACUACUCGUAUGUUGCAUACUAAUAAUUAAAACUUGAAUAGCUACCCAAUGCCCUGAUGCCACGUUGCAAUCCCACAUAAAUUUUCCCACCAAAAGUUUUCCCUUCACCUCCAUUUCCACUUCUCACAAAUUAUAAUCGCACUCUGUCUCGUCUCUAUCUAGUAUCUAAACCCCCACCAUUUGUUUUUCCCCUCUGUUGUUCUACUGCGUGGGUGUAGCGUGUGUUUCUCAAACAAGGAGGAGGCAGGCGGAAGAGAGGGGCGGCAAUCAAUCAGCUUGGGAGAGAGAGAGAGAGAGAGAGAUGCUUUGUACGGGUCGCAUAUUGGCGGCAUCGAAUUCGAGGACGCCGUGCCUUCCUUACUCUGUUACUACUACUACGCCGUUUAUGCUCUCCGGAAGAUAUUCUUCGGGAAAGCUAAAACCGAAUCUUAAAUGGCGGUGCACGGCCUCCGACUCCGAUGCCUCUUCAUUCGCGCCUUCUAUCGAUUCUGAAUCCUCAGCAUCUGAUACAAACGCCGCCGGGUAGGUUUUGCUUACGCAGUAUCUAUUAAUUUCAUGGUGUCAAAGAUCUUAUUCAUCAUUUUCCACCUAUUUUGGAUAUAGGUUUUGUAUCAUUGAAGGUCCGGAGACAGUUCAGGACUUUGCCAAAAUGGAGCUGCAGGAAAUUCAGGAUAAUAUUCGAAGUCGCCGGAAUAAAAUCUUUCUGCAAAUGGAAGAGGUCGGUUAAAUUUUGCUCAACUUAUUCUAUACCUUCUGCUUAAUAAAUUCUGGCAAGUGCGAGUAGUUCGUUUAGCGUAAUUAUUUCUGCUGUAUUUAGGGCUUAUCGAGGACAAUAAAUGCUCUUGGGGUUAAUAAUUCGUAUGCUUCACUUGUUUAGCCUCAAUUCCAGGUCUUAAUACGAAUUGGUUUGUUUUCUACGUUAACAGAUUCUAGUGGAUCUUUCCACCUUCAUUUUCCCCUUCUAUGAUAUCAUUACGUUUCAUGCUUGGCGCUGUUGUCAAAAUAUUGUAGGUUCGCCGCCUGAGGAUACAGCAGAGAAUAAAAAGUGCUGAGCUUGGAAUUCUAAAGGAAGAACAAGAAACUGAACUUCCUAAUUUUCCAUCGUUCAUUCCAUUUUUGCCUCCUCUGGUUAGAUUUCUUCUGUCACAUGCUAGUGUUCUUCUUGUAAUAAGCAAUUCAAGAUUCACCAGGUUGCUAAAUGGACCAAUGGAAUUGUAAUUUUGUUUUUUCUUGUCCAGAGUCACAACUAUAUUUCUGAAUUAGGUUACUUGUAUAACUUAUACAAUUCUUCAUGUAUCGACCCUAACACACGGCUGUAUAUGUUGUAUGCAGAACUCCUCUAAUUUAAGGCUUUACUACGCUUCAUGUUUCUCUCUUAUUGCUGGAAUCAUGAUUUUUGGUGGACUUUUAGCCCCGACUGUAAGUUCUUUGCUGCUGUUCCAUUACUCUCAGAGAGGAAAUUUGAACAAAUACAUUGGGACGUCUUUUUUAUGACAAGCACAAAGACGAGCUAAAAAUUCAGUAAAUCGGCCGGAUUUUCCCUGGUUUUUUCAAUGUGUAUAAGUUACAUACUUAAUUAUCAACGUGUGUAAAAGUUGCAUAGUUAGUCAAAGAAUUGGUAAGAUAUAUCCAGUUUUCCUUCCUUUACAGCUGCUACAGGCUCUAAACAUGAUUGUCCUAUGUUUUAUUCAGUUGGAGCUAAAGUUGGGAUUAGGAGGUACAUCGUAUGCUGAUUUUAUUCGUAGCAUGCAUCUGCCUAUGCAAUUGAGGUAUGCCAAUGCAGCAGUGGUUCAAUCUCUAUUUUGGUUUGUGCCUGAUAAUUUGGCUGUGAAGUUUUCUAUUUCUUUCAUGGUAGUGAUUCUAUAUAGUUUUUGAGAAUUAUAGUCAGGUUGAUCCAAUUGUGGCCUCAUUCUCGGGAGGAGCAGUUGGAGUCAUUUCUGCCUUGAUGGUAGUUGAAAUAAACAAUGUAAAACAGCAGGAGGACAAGAGGUGCAAGUACUGCCUUGGCACAGGUGGGCACCUCUUCUGAGGUUUUCCACCCUGAGACAAUCUUUUUUGUCUUUCAUCUUGAUCUUUGCUGAUGUCCUGGAACAACUUCAUUCUAGUUGGAGCAGAUAAUCUAUUAUAGUUUCUUAGAUUGAUCCAGCUUUUAAGGUUAGUUGUAUUGGUUUUGCGAUCCAUGCAUCACCUUUUCAAGAGCUUUAUUACAUCCUUUACCCCCAAUACAUGCACCUAAAUGCUUUGCUUGAGGAAAUCAAUUUUACAGUAGGCAUUUUGCUGACCUUUCUGUAUCCACAUUUGGUUCAGUCUACAUUCCUUGGUAUUCUUACCCCCAGAAAUCUACUCUCUUGAGCACUUCAGCUUAUAUCUAUAGUCUUUUUUCUACAGUAUUUGGAUAACUGUUCUUUAAAUAAAUUGCUCAAAUAUAUGGGGGACGCUUGUCCUCGAAUGUGGUUGGUGUAUUAAUAUUUGUUUAUUGAAUUUAAUUAAUGCAGGAUAUCUUGCUUGUGCUCGCUGUUCAAGCACUGGAGCCCUCGUCCUUAUUGAACCAGUUUCGACACUCAAUGGCGGGGAUCAGCCUCUUUCUCCACCUAAAACAGAAAGAUGCCCAAAUUGUUCUGGUGCUGGAAAGGUAUGAUCCACGUCUAGUGUUUACUUGUUCAUCUUCCUCCUGUAUGCUACUGUACUUAGAUGGAUUGAAUGGACUGAUGAACAUGACAAGUCAAUAAGAAGUUUAGGAUCUGCCUGGAUUAAUUAAGUUGUGCUCGAAAUGUGUUGAAUUUACAACCUUAAAUGGUUUGUACUUGGUUCAAAGGCAAUCAUUAACGUAAUCUGAUAUCUACCUUAAUUUUCUUUUGGUAAGUACCACCACCAUUUUAGUUUGAAAUGAUUUGGCAUUCUUCUUUGUAAAAUCAAGUGUUUCUUUCACAUAGUGAACUUCAGACAUUCUCUCCCUCCCUCCCUCCAUCCUUUUUUUAUUUUUAUUUUUGGAAUUUUGAUGUUCUGAUGGAUCCUUGCCUAAGUUGCAGAUUGUGACACUUGUUAGCUCUGUAUAUGCCUGCUUCCAUGGUGGAUCUCUACUUAUAUGAAGACCUUCCCCCCACCCCACCCCCCCCUUUUCUCCCCCUUCUUUCCUGUCCUUGAAAUACACCAAAUUUUGAGGUUUCAUGAAAUUUAGAACAUUUCACUUUGUUCCUUUUAUGUGGAUUGCUACAUUUCUUUGGGGUCAAAACAUCGUCUUUUUGGACAAUACCAUCUUUUGACCCUUGCAUGUGGACUGCUACAUUUAUCUGGGGUCAAGUACCUACUCUCUUUGGAUAAUACUUUCUUGUUGAAUGUGGGUGAGCCUUUUUUACAAUGUGGUGAGUUAUUUAGUCUAGAGAAAAAAUAUUACUUGGCUAUUUUGCUCCUGUCAAUUUUGGUACGUCGUCAACAUGCUAUUUUUAAGUGUGCUCGUCGUGUAACAUGUUGAAUGUUACUGCUAGCUUCACCGGAUAUCAAAACAUCUUGAUUUGUUUUCUCUCUGCAGGUGAUGUGCCCCACUUGUCUGUGUACGGGAAUGGCUAUGGCAAGCGAACACGACCCUCGAAUUGACCCUUUUGAUUGACGAUGACUUCUUCUUCUUAAAAUGUAGAUUUUUACUCUCGGGUGUUACACGAUAUUGAACGUCUUCUGUACAUAGAAACUGUACCUCGAGCGUAGUCUUGUAUGUAUUUCCUCGAUUGCGCAGCCCUUAAGACUGAUUGUUACGACUAUAGCAAGAUUUCACCUUUUUCUCAUUUUUUUUCCUUCCAAUUGUUUUUGCCAAUUGGACAUGUUGGCUCGUAGGAUCUUCUUAAGAACUCAAUGUGAGUUACCAGGGGACCGUAUAUACCACCUUAUAUUGGAAGGAAUUUCUCAAUGUCUCUCUCUCUUUUCAAACUUGUUAUCAAGAGAUUGUUCAUCCACAUUCUGGAAUUCUGGAAAAUGCUUGCACUAAAAGCAUUCUCAAUACACAAAAUCUAAAUACAAUGUUGUCCAACCAAGCCAAUAACAAAAUCCUGUUAGUACAUGAUAUGCACCUCAGUUUUGGUUUUUCAUACAACACUUCCAAAUUCCACUAACCUAUAAAUAGUGCGUUGCAAUCAUUGUACAUGUGCAUAUCCGUUGCAAAAAUUAAUUAGUUUAUCUCACAAGAAGUUCCAUGUGAUUUCUGGAAUCAGAAGAUGUGGUUGGUGUAAGGAUACGAAAAGAAAGGUACAACUCCAUGUAUCCUAUAAAGAUUUGUAUUGCUCUAUCAAACGAGAAGCAUGAAGACGGGACGUAGGGGCCACAGUGCAUCCUAAAUUCUGCAGAUACGCAAUCUGCAAUCAAGGAAAACAUGAUAUAUUCAUGUUGAAAUAAAAGGAAUGAAAAAGUCACUCACCACAAGAAACUAUCACUCACCUGCUUAGAAGUGGCUUUUGAUGAAUUCAUUGCACUCUCAAUUCGUUGUUUUUGAAAAUGUUCCUGGACGAGAAAAAGUAAAACAUGAUAGGGAAAAAGAUUAAGUUGGAUUAUAUAAAAUAUAGUGCCAAAGCGAGGAAUUAUACGCUGAAACAAAAAUUACACUGUUUGAGGUAGGUAUGCACAAAUAUCUUCUGUGCCUAACAACUAAUGGAUUAACUCCCUAUUUAGGGACUUAGAGAUUGCACCACGAUCGAGGCAUGUGCAGAUAAAUCAUGGAGUACAACUGAGGACAAUUUUUGGUCCUAAGCGUGAAACUAAAAUACUUCCCCCAGAGGGGAGAUGGAAAAAGAAAUUUGACCAUAAGCUUUUAGAGAGGAUACUAAAAGCCAAAACAUGACCAAGCCGAAUUAACAUAAAUCCAUGCCUAAAUGUGCAAGACCCAGAGUGAAAACUAGUGUACCGUGCAAAAGAGAGCUCUAGUUUUUACUAUGAAGUAAAGAGCAGAUAUGCGCUUGCAGAAUCAAAUACAGAUAAAAAGCAGAUGAAUUUGUUUAUGUUAGUAACAUUCUUCUGUCAAAAAAGAUACUUUCACUAUCCAAUUGGACUAAACAGCUGCAUGCAGAAGCCAUGUACUAAAGAAACUAAAAGUCAAUAAAAGCAAUACCUGCUUCUCUCUCAUUAACUGAGCUCGCUUGUCAGCAGGAAUUUGCUCCCACUUCAGAACCUAAUUACAAAGAGAUCUUUACAUUCAUACGACAAUUGUUUUCUUGUCACAUUUUUUAGUAUCAAAGACUCAAAGUAAUUCCAAUCCAUAACAUAACGACUUACAGAUAUUGCGAAAUGAAAAGCUUCAUCAGAAUGUAAGCAAGACUUCAAUGUGCGCAAGACAUCCUAGGAGUUAAUCAAAAGUCAAUAUUCCAAAUAUGUGGGUAUCGAAACACACUUCAGCGAGAAGUAAGAUAUUUGUGUUAAAUAUCCUCUGGAAAGAAAAGUCUGGAUGGAAAUGCAUUUGCCUAGAUAUAUCUGCAAUCCAUGUGCUUGAGAUGAUAAGAUGUUUUUCCCCUAUAAAUUGUGUUUAAUUUUUAAUUUUCUAAAGCAUGAUCUGAAGAAUCAAUUUUCUGUAUGGUGAGAAAGUAGAAAUAUCUUUGCUAUUUGUAAAUCAACGGUCAAAUCAAGAAUAGAACUAGCAUGACUAAUGCACUGCAUUUAACGACAAAAAUUAAAAUUACAAGGGUCAAAUGCACCACCUAAACAGAAUGUAACUGGUCGUUUUAAAAAAUUUGGGACAACAAUAAUACUUUUGAUUUUCCACAUAAAGAAGCUGAAUGACAAUCAGUCUGCAACAACAAAGCUGGCACAACAUAGAAAGAGAGAAGCUGACAUGCAACCCGAUAAUAAGAAACAACUUAAAAAAGCUUUAACAACCUUGCGGUUGCUCUUCUUAGCUCUAAGACGUUCAUCGAUGACGAAGCCAACCUGCCAUGCAAUGAAUUCAUGUGACACAUUUUAAACAAAAUGGGUAUUAACAAAAUCAAAUAAGAACCAGAAGUAUCAGAAACUUGCCAGCAAAUCUCAUAGUGGUUAGUUGUGGACAUUGAAUACAUAUAUAUAUAUAUAUAUAUAUAUAUAUAGAGAGAGAGAGAGAGAGAGAGAGAGAGAGAGAGAGAGAGAGAGAGAGAGAGAGAGAGAGACAGCGCACAGAAAUUAGAUAAUCAACAUACAAUAUAUUCAUAUUCUAUCCCUGAUGCAAACUAGAAAGCCGUUAAGAGGCAACAGGAACGGUUUUACACUUCUGCACUUUGAUUUAACAUCAUAACUAAAAAGAACUCAGCCAGCAAGAUUUAAGAUCUAAAACUUUUAGAGAGAACAUUGUCUUCUCAGAUAGGGAGGACAUGUCCAGUUUAAGUACCAGAGAUAUUUACCAUGGAAAACUACUGAAAAACAGGCCAAGAAGCUGAUCAUAAUCAAGUCCGUUUCUUUCAAUUAGUUCACCAUUUGAAUCCACCAUAAAUCAAGAAAUUUAUAUAUGUCAACAUGAACAAUUAAGUCUUAAGUCCAACAUUAGGUUACUUGAUAAAAAAAAGAUAGGCAUGAAAGCUUCUCUUGCACCUAACUUGGACCCUCAUAGAAGUCAAAAUUUCUUUCAUGUGGAUAACAAUGAAGAUUUAUGAGAGAUACUCACCAUGCAAAUUACUCCUUUAAUCUCUAACAAGACACAUAUAGGGUCUAUAUUUUAAUUCCACUAUUGUGCCAGAUGGUAGAUCCAAAAAGUGGACAAAAAGGAAGGAAGAAACAAGAGCUAAGAACCAGGACACCUCUCCUUCUGUUUAUUAUUGUGGUCAUUUUCUGUAUCAAAGGAGCGGAACGUGACAAAGACAAUUUCACAGGUGCACAAAAAAAGGAGUCCUUGAACUUGCCUUCAAUUAAUUAACAACCACGGCUGAAGCUUAAAUAUCACUAUAACUACAAGAAAGAAACAGGAAGGAGGUAUGAAAAGAGUAACCUUGUUGAGUAACCUCUUUGGGUCUUGAAAUGCUGGCUUUUUAGCCCAUUGAUGGAAUAGCUGGGAAACAGCACCUCGAUCAUCCACAUGGAAUCUACAAAAAGAUUAAGUUAAAAACUUGAGUGAUUUAUAGAAUAGCAGUAUCCCAUUUUACUCUUAAAAUCCACUCAAGGAACAAUUUCAAAAGAGAACCUUCGCAAAAAACUAUUAGCAUUACAGCGCUCUAAAAAUUCAUUUGAUUCAUUGGACACUUCAUCACAGGCUUCACAGAUAGAGCCACUUGGUUUACUAUUGACUUCAACUAAUUCUGUUUUGGUUUGUGCACUAGUAGCAAUUUCUAGAGUUUGUCGAGAAAGUUGCUGGUUAUUUUCCUGCAAACUUUGUACACUCGGCUCAUCCUGCAAGCAAGAAAUUGAAAAAAGAAAAUAAUAAAAAAAUAAAGAAGACCAAUUAUAUAUGAAGAAAAACCAGAAAUAAUUAGAAAGAAAUUUUGUACCAAAACAGAUUAUUGACGCCAUUUUAACAGCAAAAUAAUUGAUACAACAAAUCAGUGAAAAAGGUGAAAACAAAAUUAUUGAACUUCUAAAACCAACAGACAAUGUGGUCGCAUUUUAGCUACUACAAAAAUCUUUCUUCUCGGUAAUUAGUUGCUGGAUGUACUGUUUAUAAGAUCCUUAACAAAUAGCCAAACUUGACCCCUCUUAAAAUAUCCUCAUUUGUGCCACCAUCAAAUCAAAACCCAAUGUUUCUUGCUUAUGUUGCAUUGCUGCUUCAUGGCAGAUGUACCCUAAUAAUCAAAGAACGAUGACCACCAUAAACUCGAAUCAUACAGUCUAUGAAUUAUGCUUAAAACAUUCACUUCAAAAAUAUACGUCGAUGAUAAAGUUCAGCUUCUUACAAAGACUGAAUCUGCCAUUUAAUGCCACCAUAUAGACCGCAAACUUUAUGAACAAAAAAGAAUUAAAGAAAGCUGAUAUGAAUUUCUAUUGCACUACUUCCUUUUGGUAUGUCUUGAUUUUUCAACAUGUCAGAUGUACAUACUAAUUGUUUCCUGCACAUGCAAGUAUCUUGCCCUUUGAGACUGUUAAACACAAGCACAUUAGAGGCGUUGAGUUUGUCAUUUUAGUCUACCAGCUCACAAUGUAAUAGACUUAAAAAAAUAAUGUUAUACUCAAUAGUUUUAGACAAUUUCUACUGCCUAACAAAGAUUUAUCAAAGCUAGAAUCAGAGCAUUCAUAUCCAGAAAACAGAGGUCAAGAUUAGUGACAGCAAUAUAAGGAAUAACCCAAACUUAAAAAACAUAAGACUUAAAUUCCAACGGAAGCUUACUUGGACCUCUUGAAGAUGACGUGGAAUUUCUCUCAAAAAUCGAGAAGGUUGAAGAAUCUGGACAGUUGCAUUAAAAUACAAAUAAGAAUGUGAAAUGACCAAUGGAUGACCAAGAAAUUCUAGAUGGACACAACCUGCCAAUUUGAAUCCAUAAUCAGAUAUAGGAUGAAAAGUUUUUUCCGAGCUCUUGUCAUCGCGACAUACAACAAGCGUCUUUCCUCCUAAAAUUGUAAAAUAAGAAUCUGUAACUUCUGAAAAAUAAAGAAGCUCCACCAGCAAGCACAAAAUUUCUAUCCAUGGAUACACUAACCUCAACUGAGGAACCCUUUUCAUUUGUCACACCAUUCGAUUCAUGCAGCAGGGGAAUCUCAGUCUCAUUAACCUGGGUGAUUGAUCCAUGCAACAGGUUGAACUCAAUAAAUUUGAAUAAGAGUGUUCCCAACAUAAGCAAAGAAAAAGCAUGCAUUCCCCUGUCUUUGUCUUGAAUGGCUAAACGUCAAAGCAUUCAAUCAUCUUAUACAAAUGUUGAUGCCACUGGUCAGAUGGUUUAACAUCAAAACUAAGAACUGCAAUAAAAUGGCCAUCAAGUUGAUUACAGCUGGAAUUUAUUUACAUUAUCAUCUAUGCUGGCGGUGCAGCAAAAACAUCGUAUGUUUCUAUUUGAUGGAAGUAUUGUUCAAGCAUAGAAUGCCAAGGAUAUUUAGCCAAAUCAAUGCAACUUUAAGAUAGAGCUAACCCCAGAAAAAAGAAAUGAAUCAUGCAGUUAAAUAAUCUCCCUUCCUUUCCUCUUCCCAACCCUCCCCAGUUUCUUUAAUGCAAAUGAGUUUCCUUUUUUACUGAAGUAUGGACUGCAAUUUCACUCUGAAAAAUGAUUUGGUAUCAUUAAUCUUCAAAGUUGGGGUCAAGUAGGCCAGCAUUCCCAGAUAUGGAGCGGACAUCAUCUGAAGUUCGCCCACAAGAUAUCAGGGAUAAAAUCUAUUGUCCUUCCAUGUAUAAAAUGGACUUUAAUUGCAAGUUGCAGUUUCAUAUGCUACCUUUAUAAUGAAAACAACAUCCCAUUCCAAGCCUUUCGACUGCACAAGGAGACAUUAACAUGAAGAAAAGCAAAAUAAGACGUCAGGAAUAUCCUAAAAUCGAAACAACAUGUAACACUGAACCUUAACAAAGAGAAGAAACUCUAACAUUUAGUGGGUGAGAAAACCUGGUGAAUGGUAGUAAGGGUAACAGAGUCUUUGUUAUCCUGUCUUCUAAAAUGGAAGUUUUCUCUCUCCCGUUCAGAUACAUAGUCAAUAAAAGCUUUGAGCAGUGCCGGACAACCUUUCCCUUCUGCACCAUCAUCAGUCUUCACUUCAACUGUAGCACCUUGCAUCGUCAAAAAAUCAGAGACAUCAUCCAAUAAAUAUUGGAGCACCUGCAUAUAUGAACUGACUUAAGUUCCAAACUUGUUCAAGCAUCAACUUCAGUAUGCCACAAUAUGCAAAACUGUAGAUAGUCCAGAAUUCAAAGUGCCUAGAACGUUUCACCUGAAAAGAUAUGACAUAAUAUGGCUAAGGAAAAACAUCCAUUCUUACAGAUCUAAGGUCAUUGUCUUCAUUUAGCAAUUUUCCUCCAUCUACAUCAACAACUGCCCGUUGUUCGAGAAGGUAUCUCUGAAGAACAAAAGAAUGAUGUGGUGUUUUUAAUAGGUAAUAACUUUGCAUGUAAUAUCACGAAUACCUUAACCAAAUUUAGAUUUGGCAAGGCUAUCUGAAUGCAUGAAUGAUACACUUCAUUGAGAAUGCAUCCAAUUCUGUCAAAAAGCAAUUUGCAAAACCUUACCAAACAAAAAGCCAAGAAGUCUCAAGAAUAAUUUCAGUGGGACAGUGCUUUUAAACAUAUAAAGAGAGCACUUGAAGGCAAAGUAACUCUAAAUAAGAUGGUCAUGAGUUGAUGAGUCGCUAUUCAUAUUAAAGUAUGCCAAGCAAGAUGAUAGCUAGACAUACAGAAAAAGUUUUUUUAGAGAGAGGAGAUCUAAGUUCACAAUCUAAUUAGAACAUUUUAAAGAAACACUAUGUCAGCUUAACACUUCUCCUCAUAACUUUAGCCUAUCUGACAGGACCAUCAUCUCAACUUAUGUUAGCAACAGAAGCCUCUGGAAUAAGCAUCAAGUUAGAUAUCAGAUGUUGGAACUAAAUGAAUUAUAGUCCAAGAUCGUGCCUCUUGCCUGGCAAAAGAAUGUCAUAAUCACGGGUUCUAUACAUGAGAUAUUAAAGGCAAGGACAUGCAUGGUGCCCAUAUGAACAGCAGCACAAUGUCCCACUAUUUGAUUGUUAACCGAGUCACUGUCUACAUGUGGAUUUGAAAACAUCUUCAUCAAUAGAUUCAAUUUGAAUAGUGCAUAAAUGGGUAGAUGUAUAUAUAUAUAUAUAUGGAACAAUAGAAUAUGCUUUGGACGCAAAUUCCUCGGAAGCAUGUUCUUUCUUAAUAAGUUGCAGCAUUUCAAGACGUCAUGGUCAAUUUUUUACCUAAAAAUAGUUCCAGAUAAUAUACAGGAUACGCCAACUAUAACUUGAUUUUCACUAUCUUCUCCUAAAGAAGAAGAGAAUACACCAAGAGAGGGAGCAUUUUGUUCCCAAGGAGGUUACUUGCAAUUCUCCCUCUGUGACUUUGCAUGUCCACAAGCCCUUUAUUCUGAGCAAAUCAAACGCCUCUAGCAAAAGGAUGCCUGAGGUUGUUGGAUUAGAGGCUGAAGUUGUAGUUGGGACACCAUUUGUCAUUGUUGGCUCCAAAUUCAGGAAUAUGCCUACUAGUCCAAUUCGAAGAAAAUAAAUCCAAUAUGGCAUACUACAAAAGAAUGGCACCUUGAACCUCUUAAUAUAUAAAGUCGAUAGAGAAGUGCAAGAGUGCCUAAGGAAAACCUUAAGAGUUCUUUCUUGAUCUUCAACAAAGAAAGUAACAUGAGUCCUCAAAAGUGUCAGAGCCACUUGGGAAUAAAUUAAAAAAAAUGCGCGAAUGAUAGGCAAUUCAUAAGCGGUCCUACUACUGCCAAACAAAAUCUACUUUGUGUCUGUACAUUGUUUAACCUCAUUUAGUGCAGAAUAAGAAAAUAAACAAGGUUAAAAAGAGACAAACCUGAGGUAUCAUGUUUGACACAGAUGUUAUAACAGCUGAAAUUGACUGUUCCUGUCAGCAUCAGAAAAAUUCAAAUUGUCGAAUUAAAGGUAUCAUUUAGGUAACGGAUUCCAGAACCAAAAAUAAAAACAAUUCUACAAGCCUUGAUCAGAAAAGAUUUAACACCAAAAUGGCUCCAAUGGAGAUUUUUCCACUUUCCAUAUAACAGAAUUAGCCUUAAAAAAUGGUUCCAACAUCCAAUGAACCCUAUCCUGACCCUAUGAGUAAGCAGUUUAUGUCUUUUUUCCACAAGUGUACCAAUAUUUGCAUUAAAUGAUUAACACAAAACUGAUACUCACAUAUGCCACAGUUGAACAAGUGCACUUACCGUAUGAAUAAGUUUUGAUAUCAUGUCUAGAGUGAGCAACACCUUUCGUCCCUGAGUAAGUUGAGUCCUAUAAUCAACAUAAAGUGUAAGUGUAUUGCGCAUCAGCAAAAUUUUCCACUUGUUCAAAUACAACAACUGCAAAACCCUUUAAACUGCACACACAAUAGUACUCUGUGAACAAAAUGUACUACAGUAAGUUUGCUUCUUAUUUGGAAAAUCCAUGUCCUCCUGAACUCUCUAAUAUCACAGAAGGCACUAGAAGAAUUAUUUAUGCACCAGAACAUAAAAGAGGAAUAGGAACAAAAAUAGAAGGUAUAAUGAUUUGAAAAGGAAAAUGUUGCAAGACUGGUAUGAGAUAAGCAUCAAAGAGAUUAAAAUCAAUGGUACAUAGAGCACCUUACGACACUUACAUGAGCUUAGUAUGAAUGACCAAAAUAGACCACAAGACAAUUGCAAUCCAUUAUAAACUUUCGACCUAAAUAUCCCACUAGCAAUAGCUAAAAGCUUGAUAAAAUAAGUAACAUUGACCUGCUACAAAAUAUCAGAAUAAAAACUAUUGAAACUUUUUCUUCCCUACAACUAGAUGUGCUACAGAAUAUCAGAAUAAAAAUAUUGAAACAUUUCCUUUCCUACAACUAGAUACUCAUACUUUUUCCCAGCAGGAAAAAGGACAACAUACCUCUUGAAGGUGCCAGAUAUCUUUGCACUAAAUAUGUCGGUAGCUGCAGAUAUAAAGCUACAUUUCCUUACGGUUGACACUUUAUCUAUAUGUUCAAUUACCUGAAAAAGAAGAAAGCAAGAGGACAAUGGCCAGAGAAAAUGAAAUCAACAUGAAGCAGACUAAUGUAAGUGAUCAUGAUGAAAAAAACCAACAAUGAAUAUACCUUGUUCUUUUCCUCUUUCUCAAAUGGUAGCAAAGCUUUGAAUACUUUGCGAUAUGGUGCAUCAUCACAAGCAGGCAAUGCUGUUCUAAGCAUAGCAAUAAUAGCUCUCACUACCUAAACAAAGGAUUUAAAUAUGGUCAAUAACUAAGUGCAGUGUCUUCAAAAGAUAGCAGAACUUCACCCCAUAUUACUUUUUCUUUAUAAACCAUUUAUCGUUUAGGAAUGCCCCCUAAAACCAGUAAGACAUUCAUGUUCCUAUCCUCUACUCUGAAUAUAUCAGGUUACUGGGAGGAAAGAAAAAGGUAAGAUAUAACAAGUUUGACCACAUUAAGGGGAUCUUAACAAUUGUAUAAAAUGUUGACUGAAAAUGCAAUGCAAAUCAAUUGAAUUGCAAUAUAAAGUCCUGUUCCUGAAUUUGUGGUACUAAGAGUGAUGUUGAAUGCGGUCAAGAGAAACUGACACGAGACAAUCCAGAUAACAAAACAUGCAUACUAAAACCUUUUUCCUGUAGAAAGCUACCCCAUGAAUGUUGAAUGGAAUACUUCGAUUGCGGAAGGUUGUUUGGAAAAUCUUCCCUAACACCUGUCACCACUCCAUAGAAGUUCAGGAAGUGCAGCUACACCUCUAAUCUAACUAAAUUACGGACACAACAAAAUUCACCUGUCUCCGGUAAAGCACAGCAAUGUUGCCAAAGUUGCACUUUGCAGCUGAACCAUCAGAAGUAAUUUCUAAGAUUUUAUCAACCACAAAUGCGCACUGUGAAUUUUCAUUGCUACAUUCUUUUACUGUUAUCUGGAAAAUUUAGUUCAAAAACACAAAUUGGUAACUAGAAGCAAGCUAAAACCAAAAUUCUUGUUUGACAAUUGUUACCUUAGAACCAGAAGAAUUAUCUGUGAGAACAUCUUUUGAUUCGCAUCGUUCCAAAUUAUUUCGAAUAAGAGAUGAUGCAGCUUCAACAAUACAACGAGUGGAUCUGUAGUUUUUGUUCAGUCUAACCUGGAUGGGAGGACGGAUGCAUACAGAUUGAGAAAACUUGCUGUUAGGAAACACCACGAAAUUCAAAAAGCUGAAGCAAUUGAGAAUAAAAUAUGGAACCAAGACAAAGAAGCACUAAUAGCACAGUAAGAAAAGCAGAUUAGGCGGACCUCUUUGUGCAUAGGAAAAUCUUUUCGAAAUGAAUGGAAUCCAGAAACAUCAGCACCAUUAAAACCAAAGAUAGACUGCAUGACAAAUGACAUCCAUUUAACCAAAAAAUUCAGAAAAGGCACCAAAAAAUCAUCUCUAAGAAAGUGACAAACAAAUUAAAAGAAAAAAAUGAAAUAGUGUUUUAAAAGAUGAAAUGAACCUGAUCUUCAUCACCAACAAUAGUUAUGCGUUUAUGGGAUGCAAGAAUGCACAACAGACUGUACUGCAUGGAACUUGUGUCUUGAAACUCAUCAAUAACAAUUGCUUUCCAUGACUCCUGGCACUCCUUGAAUACUUCAGGCAGAAUAAUGUUACAAAAUAAGAAUUUUUGUUAGCUGUGUUAUGCUACUUAUUAUGUUUAUAUGAUGCAAACCUGCAGGAAACUCAUUCAGCAACUUCACAGAACAGCUGAUUAGGUCAUGGUAGUCCAAAGCAUUACAAGAUUUCAGUAUUUCUUCGUAGUUCCGUAGAAUAUCAGCCUAUUACAGAUUCCAAUAGAACAGUCAAGCACAAAUGAGUAGGACCAUAAAUGACUUUGCCGUGGCGCACACCAACUUAAUGGAAAGAGAUUUAAGCUUACUCCUCUCUCAUCACCUAUUCUGCAGCAAUCUUCAGGAGUCCUGCCUGCUGCUUUUGCCUGAAACAUAUUACUCUUGGAUGUUAUUACUUCUAGACUGGAUGAACCAAGUACAAAUCAUUCACUCCUGAAAACUACGUUGCCAGAUAAAAUUAGCAUAGUGGAAGUGAAGUGUCAUAGGGUUUGUCUGGAUUGAGAUGAUUUCAAAUAAAAUAAUUUACUUCACAAAUUUCAAUCACUUUUUUAUCUUCCCAAUCACCUUUUCAUCUCACAUACAUCACAUCACAAAAAGUGCUACAGUAAUUAUCUCAAAUAAAUCAUCCAAACAAACCCAUAGUAUUUCUUAGCCUGCAGUACUCUCGGCAUCUCAUUUUUAGGUCGAGUCCAACUAUACAGUUCCUUCAAAAUAACCAAUUCUGACCAUGCUAAAGAUUGAACAAAGAAAUAUGCCCAUCACACCAUCUGUUUCUGAUUCAAUCUGCUAGUUCUCUUAAACAAGCCAAGAAUUCAUACCACCCCAUAGCAGGCAAUGAGGGCAAGUGUCCUUUCUCAAGGCACAUACUGCCAACUCCUAUUAUUCAUCUACUUGUACACUUGGGGAGGAAAAAAGCAACUUAGAAGCUACACAUUCAGUCCCUAUAGAAUGCACGUAACUGAAAGUCAAAUAACUAAAUUGACCACUUACCUUGGUAACGUAUUUCAGCCACUUCUUUGAUUCAUCUUUGAAAUACUGUGGGGAACUCACACCAGACACUUCGUCUGCCUGUUGAAGUUUAUAAUUUGACUUUUUCUUCCCAUUCUCCGAUAAGCGGAUAGCCUCGAUGACAGCUCUUCUCUGUUGUCCAUGUCCAUAUACCAAAAACUCAGGUGUUCGAACUAACCUAUUUCACAAGCUAAUAAAUUAGCAAUCUAAUAAAAGUUGAAUGCUACAGCUAAAUAUUAGAAUGAAAUUAAACUUUAUCAGUACACAAAUUGCUGCUUCAGAAAAAUCUUCAGAAUUGAGUCGACCAUGUUAUAGUUGAUACUUUCAAUUCUGAAAAUUAAAAAUUUUGUAGUUACUCCAACACAAAUAAAAGGAAGCCGUUUAACUCAUUUUAGGAAGAGCAAAUUAUCUAAAUGAACCAGCAUGCUUUAGAUAUAAUAGGGACAAAGAAAAAACAGCACACGUGACACAAACACCAGGACAGGUAAACAGUCACAUAGUCAAAAUGACGUCAAAUUUGACUAGAACAUGCUCUUGGGAUUUCAGGUUCAGUUUUACACAGCAAUUAGACUUUGUUUGGAAAAUAUCACAUAGGGUAGAUAAGAUUGUGUAUUCCGAAAGUAUCAUAUAGUCAGAGAAUACCAGAUAGAAAGCACUUAUGUACUCAGAAAUUGUCAAUAGUAGGGAAUCAAAUGAGAGCAGCAACAAAUACAAUCCACAAAUUGUAUUAAAAGUCAACUUCAACUGAAAGGGACGCACUAACAAUCUAUUAGGUAGCAUAUAGUUGGUUUGCGGUUCUACUCAAAAUACGAAAAUUGCAAAUAGAAUAGUCAAUGAUAUUACACCCUCAAAUCAAACCCUGGGGCAAACAAUACAUUGAGAUGUUAACAAAAAAUCUUCCUACUAUUCUUGCAGCUUUAUGUCUUACAAGUUACAGUCAUGAAUAAUUUUUAUCAGGUGAGUUCCUGAAUUAGAUUGCAAGCAGCAAAUCAACUUCAGCAGGACCAUUACACUUACCAAUGACUCAUUUAGGAAGAUGCCUAUCACGGUUUUUUAAGAACAAUAAAUGUAAGAACAAAAGACACCAUGGUCUAAACUUCGAGGACAAAGAACAAAGUAAAAGUAUCAUACUUCUCAGCAUGCAAACGACAAAGUUGUAGCGAAAAUGAGUGAAAUGUGCUGAUUGUGAGCUCUUUGGCUUUUGCUUUCCCUGCCACAGCUCCAAUACGCUCUCUCAUUUCAGAUGCAGCUGCUGUAGUAAAUGUCAUUGCCAAAAUGUGGGACGGACAAAUUCCCUAUAUGUGAUUAAGUGUUGGAAUUAACUGAUCAAUGAAUCUAAAAGCCCCAAAGAAUUGACGCCAACUGUAGAAUUCUACAGAACUGUGCUAAAAGCAAAGGACAACAACCAAUCACAGUACUGAAAAAAAUGAUUUACCUGGUUCAGCAGCAUGAUAACGCGCCCAACCAUUGUAGAAGUCUGUCAUUUACAGCAAAAGUAAGCUAUGACCAGAGAAGAAAAUAAUUUUCAAAUUCAGAACUAGCGGAUGCUACUAACCUUUCCACUUCCUGGUCCAGCAACAAUCACCAAAGGAAUUGAAAUGUCACUACAAGCUGCUUCCCGCUGCCUCUCAUUUAGAGACAUGAUAUAUUUAGCAUACUCUUCAGGCAUGCUCUGUACCUGUGUGUCAGAAUUUCUUAACACUUCCGAUACACAUUCCUGGCUGCUACUGGAGUUCAAUGCACUUUCAGUAUUGAACUUCUUAUCUGAAAGGACAAGAUUAAUGAAAGUGUUCUCCUUCCCACUCCUGUUGCUAACAUGCUGAAUCUCCAACGGAAUACUGUUUGACACCUCUAUUUCAGAUUUUGCUGCUGACUUGUUACAUAAAGCGUCAAUUUCCUCCAGAAUGGAUUCAUCAAAAUCAUCAUCUAAAACAGUAGAGAAAGAUAAGGGUUCACUCAAGCUAGAGCAGCUAGUUUGCCUCACAGGAGUGACAAAUGAAUCCGACCCAAUCCCAUCUUUCAGGAAAACAUCUCUUUGCCUUGCAUUUAGAUCAACAUCAUUACUACUUGAGAGAUUCACGCAACACUCUGAUUGUUCUAUAGGAGUUUUUAACGAACUUAUAUUAAUUACAUUCUUGGUGUCUGCAGUUGCGCAAAUAUCAACAUUAACCUUAGCUGGAACCCUGGGGCAUGAAUCAGUAUUAUAAUUGCGGAUUCUCAAGUUGAUAGUUUCAGAGGAUGGCGCGUUCAUAGGUAUCUCAGAAAGGGGAAGUCUUUUAAUACCCACCACCUGAGCAGGAGACUCAUUUUCCCAUCCGACCCCAUCUCUACGAAAAAGAUAUACCAUGAGAAGAAAGCACGUUAGGACAGAUGAUAUCAGAAAAUCAGAAUUCACGCUCAAACUCCUUUCUAUGUUAUCAAAAUUAAUCGUAAACUUUAUGUUUUUUUUUUGGAAUGGGGAAGACAACCUUAAAUUGUUUAAGAGAGUUCCGUCCUCCGUUUUUUUGAUAUUGAUUUCUUUUGUCUUUAAUUUCCAAGCACAUAAUAAUUGACUUGUUGUAUUUCCAGGGUAAAUGUACACAAGAAGAAAAUAAAUGUGAAAAUAAAUCAGAAUCCAUUCGACUAGUGCUAACGACGUUAAGUGUAAAGCAGAAACCCUAACAUCAGAGUAAGCAUAAGUCGAAGAGCUUACUUGCGGGGAUAUGGAGAAGAGAGAUUGAAGGGUUCGGUUUGGCGAGGUCGCUUGCGAGCAAGGAGCGCCUUGGCAGCUCUGAAAUUUUGAGAAAUACGAGACCGCUGUUCCGCCGAUAAACCACCUUCGCCCCGGUCGACCACCAGAUUCUCCUUGUUACUCGUCAUCUUCUAUGAAAUCCGGCUUUCACAUUAUGAUAGAUAUACGCCGACCAAAAAAGCGGCGCAUUCGUAUAUUGUGAGGGAGACAGCAAGCAAGCAGGGGAAUGCGGCAGUUGUGCCCGGGAGAGGGCGUUGGAGAGACUGAGGAGAGCGAACGAGCGGGACUCACUUUUUUUCAAAUAUGAUGACGACGUCGUAUUCACUACGCAAUCGAACUUUUGGCAACCUUCGGCGUCGUAUUGACGCAAGUCAUGGCGGUGGCAAGAUAGCUUGAAAGGGCGGAACGGCUUUUGACUGAACAACCGUGGUAAUAAAAUGGAUUAAUUACAUUUACCGCCCUUGUAGUUUAGCUAAAUUACGAAUCCAAACCUGAUGUUUGACCGUAUUACCAAACAGUCCUUGGAUUGUGAAAAUAUUUACCAAGCAGUCCUUGCUGUUAAUCAAUCUGAGUUGACGGUUUAGAAAUUAACUAAGUUAAGAAGAUACUAAACAAAAACACUUAAAGAAAAUAUGAACUAGAUGUUCCAAUAUGCCAUCAACAACUAACCUCUUAUUAUAAUUCCUCAUUUUUCUUUCACUUCCUUCCAAACGGAACUUUAGUCCCACUUACUCUAGCAACAAAAGUUGCAAAAACCAAAUUAUUACCAUUAAAUUUAUAUCUCUAAUUCAAUUAAAACUACACUUAUAGAUCAAUUGAAACCUUAGAAUACUUUGAUGUUAACAACAUCAAUGAUCCAAAAACACAACUAAAAAAGAAAUUUCUAACCAUUGCCGAAGUUUGAUAUUCUUCUUUUACCAACUGAUACAUGCCCAACUUCUUUACAAGCGAUCUAAUUGUGAAAUCAAUAAAACUCUUACGUGCUAGAAGAAAUCUUAAAUGCCAAUAAUCAACUUGAAAAUUGGAUUCAAGAUAUCAUGGCUACAUCAAACCAGACUUGUCCAAAAAUUAAAUAUAUUGUUAAUUGAUUUUGCUCCUUUUUGUAAUGGGCUCUUGAAUACUUUUCGAAAUUCAGUUGAGUUAUUUGACAAUGUAGAUUUCAUAUAGUUUUUAUAGAACUCUGUUGUAUGUUUAUAGAUUAGAAAAGCAAGAAAAGACUUGAUAAAGAAGAAACUUUUCUAUCAUAUUUGUAAGUUUAGUAAAAGCGUCACACUAGUGAUAGAAUAAGACGACGGUAAGGGUAAAAUAUGGUAGGGAACAAGAAAAAAUUUGAAAGGCAAAUGAUUAUAGAAGAAAAGAAUUUGCAAAGGCAAAAAUGGCAAGAGAGUUUGUUAAUUUUUCCCGUUUGAUUGGUUUGUAGAUGUUUUUGUUUAACUUUUUUAACUUUUAAAUCAGGAUAGUUUUGUCAUUGUCACGACAACUGUUAACGGAGUUUUGUAGAAAGUUGCUGGCAAGGGGCUAGACUGAUAUGGUCAGACCUUAGGGUUCAAAUCGUAUUUUGACUAAACUACAAGAGAGGUAAAUGUCAUAUUAAUCUUAAGAAUCAAAAGACCUUUCAGGUUUCAGGGGCUUUCUAUUACGCCGUAAUUCUUAAUGAAUGCAUUUAUGUUUCUGAAUCGAAAGCCAGAAGGGUCUUGUUUAGGACUAGCCUUUUAACUCGUAGGAGGCUUAACGGUCCUUCUCAUGAGCGGGCUUCCGCGGAGGCAGAGACGGACUCCAGACAAAAGCCGAUGGACGCCUUGAGAGCUUCCUAUGGCGGCGCUUCUUCCGAUUCCGACUCCAGCCCGACUAUUUCACCAGUAUCAUCACCGCCACCGUCAACCUCAAAUUACAAUCCCCACCAGACAUCAACAUCUCUGCCUCCACCCCCUCUUGCUCUCCUCCACUCACCCGAUUCUUUCGGUACAUUCUCUAGUUUUAAUAUACUACAUAUAUCACUCCAUACAAAUGGAGUGUGCAGCUGGAUUUAGUAACAAUUUCUUGUAUUUAUUGCAUGCCAAGUGUUUGAUGUUUGAACUCUUAAGGUGCAUUUGAUUAUUUACAAACUGAGCAACCCACUCGAGUUCGAAGCUUCCCUCAUGUCCAAGGAAAUUACGCUUUGCACGUCUAUAUUCCUGGUAAUUUUUUCUUCCUUUCAAGUCCUUGCAAUCACUUGUGUUCUUAUUUAGUGCGGUGUACUAUUUAAAGAAUGCAAUGCCUGUGCUGGUUCAGUUGACAGCUGCUAUCUACCAUCUUCCUGCAGUUCAUAUACCAUCUUCGCCCAGGAAGGAGCUGGUUCAGUUUUUGAGAAAGGUUACUGAUCUUGUACCCGGUCUUCAUGCUGUUGACAUAGAUGUCCCGUUAACUAGUUUGCUUAAGGAUGAUAACAAAUUUGAACAAGUUGUUCUAGGAAGGGAAUUUCAUAUUAGUCUCGGAAGAACUGUUCCGAUACGGGUGCACCAGAGAGACUCUGUGCUGACAAUGCUUCGCCAGAAGCUUCAGUUUCAGAAGAUGUAAUUCUGUAACUUGCAUGAUAUUAUCUUUACUGCUGUUGCAUUCCAUGAAUUCCGCUUGGUUAGCCACUUAUGUUUUAAAUCGGAUGUAGGUAUUGGAUUGAUUUUGCCAAAUGGGUGGUAUUUGUUAAUGAUGAUUUCACCCGCUCUUUUCUCUCCAUGGAAGUUAUUGCAGGAGGCUUGGCUGAGGUAAGGUGCCAUUCUUGCCUUCAGCUGUUUUAUUUAUUGUCAAGCUAUUAAAUCAAAUCCUUGAUAGCUGUGGCUAUUGCUGGAAAUUUUCCAGUGGAAUUAUCUAAUGUUUUGUUGCAGUCAGCUUGACGCACAAAGAUUACAAAAUAGUCCUAGCAAUAUCGACGUGUGCAUUAAGUAAGGGGAGAAAGAUGCAAAGAAUGGCAGUUUAGGCCUUCUGAUUGUAGAGAUGUGGUUGGCAUCUCGAAUAGUCAACAAACUUUGAUAUGCUUCUAUUUGUAGAGAAAGAUACAAAGAAGAUUGCACUUGAUAUGCUUCUAUUUGUUUUCAAUAGGAUGAACAACUCAUUUGGACUUUUUCCCUCCCAUCAGAUAACAAAACAAAUUGAUGCUGUUAAUGAGGUAUACAGGCUUCACAAUCUUCCAGAAUUUUACAAGGUUAGGCUUAUGGAAGAUACUUUUUCCUUUUCUAUGUCGCGCCUUGCAAAAGGGCUAACUUUGUAGUUAUUAUUAUUUUUCUUCUUGCAAAAAGUGAUAUUGUUUACAUAGCUCAAUGGUCUUGGUUACAGGAUCCACGCCCUCAUAUAUCUGUGGCCUGGGCAUCAGGUGAUGUUGGUGAUUUCAUGACGGGAGUUGUAGAGGAAGAAAUGAAGAGAUUCAGUUUGACUGGAGGUUCAUCAAGGAAGCAUAUUUUUACCUGCAAAUUUGGUGGUGUUAAGUGCAGAAUAGGUAAUCGAACCUAUGAGAUUUGCAAAUUUCAGGAGUUAUAGCAAAUUAAAUGAUAAACUUCAGAGAGUUAAUAUAUUGCCUUUAAAUUCUGUGUGGAUUUAAAAUUGAUGUUAUGCCUGCUGUAUAUAUAUAUAUAUAUAAAUUUUGGGGGCUCUUCAUGACUGCAUAUAACACAAGGUGAAGUUUAUGAGCUCUUCCUCAGUCAUACAUAUCGUGUUGAGUUUAUGUGAAGCAUGGUUUCAGAUUUACAAAAGAUUUUUUGUCUCGCCUGCUGUACCAUUUUUUGUCUUAACAUCUAUCAAAUCACCAUAUAUCCUUCAUGAACAUGCCAUUUAAUUCUAGUAAUUAGUCCAAUUCUUACUUAUAGGGUAGAUUACAAAAACAAUUGACUAAAUAACAAUUGACAGAAAAAUAAAAAUAAAAAUUCAUGAAAAACAAUAGUAUACUUUUGGAGAAAAAAAAUUAUAUUACGUGACGUGCUUUUUAAUAAGCCCCACAAUUCCAAACUGCACUUAACCACUGAGAGAAGAGGAACUGAAAGCUUCUGGGCGGUAAACUGCAUUGAAAAUAUCAUCUUGACCAGACCGGCAAGCCAAAGUUGAAUCGCAUUGGAGUUACAGGCAACUAGAUCAUAUUAAUGAUAUUAUCACUAUUGCAACAAAAGAGAACGGGAAAAGAUCCCCCGAUUAUUCAAAUUGGAAUUUCAGGACGUUUUCAUACUGCGUGCAAAUUACCUCUGGUCCCAAAAUUACGAGAAUGUGUCGUAUCGUAUGUGACGGUGAAAAUAUGCGACCAUAAGGGAAGUGGCUCUAAUUAGAGUUGUUCAGACAAAUAUAAUGCACCCAUCAAGAAGAAAAGGUUUAGUCUCCUUCAUCAUAAUCAUCAAUGCAGCUUCUGAUCCUUCUUGACUAAUUAAAUCUAUAGAUGUCUUUGCACUCUGACUGCAUAACACCAUGCACAUGAUUGCUUGGAGCCGCCGAAGAAAACAAUACAGACUCAGGAACCGUAUCUGUUUCUUGGCUAUUUUUGGUCGUGGGAAGAAAAUCCUUUACACGUUGCUUGUUGAGUAUGGAAGCCUACAAUUUCAAUUAGCGAAAGAAGUCAUCGAGAUUAGUCCUGAAUUGGCUAGCAAGAAAUGCCAAAUUGGGGCUGGUUCCAGCCCCAUGUGCAAGCCUUGGAAGAGUUUGAUCCCACGCUCUGCCUGGCGGAGGACCUGAAUUCAAACAUUCCUCUCCACAAUCCACAUAGCUGCAAUGGGAGGGAAAGAUAAUGUGGUGAGGGUCUUAAUUUGCCUAUCCGAAGACUCUUCGAAAAGUGACUUCUCAGGGGGGAGACUGCUCUUCACCUUGCCCUGAAGAAUCAUCACAAGUGACUCAGUGCAUUCCCUUCUUCCUUUUACGCAAUAAUGGGAAAUUAAGUACUGCACAGAUUCUAGAUCUACUGCUAUCAAGGAAUUCGGCAAGUGGAAUCAUAGUGGAUGUCAAUUCGGUGAAUGGGAGAGGUUUUAUAGCAAAUCCUUGUUGAGGCUGGUGCCAGAGAUGCGCGAUUUCUGCGCCUAAGCGAAAGCAAUCUUUCCCCAAUUGAGUUCGUCAUGAUUGCUACAUUAACCUCUACAGCGGCUUGCUCUCCACCACCAAAUUUAUUUUUGAAAACGAGAUCCCAUGGAACAAUGCACCUUUCUAUAUCUUGGAUAUGCUCUUCCACCGUGGUCCUGGACUUGGAACAAACUUCUUCUAUUUCAUGGUGUUCAAUAUUGCGGGGUUCAUGGCCAGCAUGGGUGCAAUUUUAUUCCUUAUAUUGUUUUCAUGAUACUGGUGGAGAAGAGGAUGCCACAUUUCUGUGUAAUCGUUGGAUCGUCUCAAAUCUCAGUGGCUCUCUGUGUCUGGGUUUCUGCUGUAGCUUUCAUUGGCCGUGGAGUCGUGUUCGUGCUUGGAGCACAGAGAAGAAAUGGCCUUCUAGAUUCGUCAAAAUCAACAAUCGUAAUGUUGUGAAGACUUGUACAAGUACGUACGUUUAUAUGAAUACGUAGAAUGUAAAUCAUGUAACAAAAAAUAAGACCCUGAUGGGGAAUGUAACGUAUAUGUUGUAUUGAGAAUGUGAUCCAUGUGAAUAUAUAAGACCAUGAAUGGACAGCGAGCAGUCUGCUGUCCUUUGUUCGUUCAAGUGAAAGAUUUAUUUCAUCCCGCCCAAUUAUUUUGUUUGCAUAAUACAAUUUUUUGUUUGCUGGCUUUCACAGCACUGGGACGAGAGGAGUUGGGCAAGAACAGCCAGUUGAAGGGUCUGUUUUGUUGGGACUGAAAACAUUUUUUGGAAAAUGUUCUCCUGAUUUUAAAGUGUUUGGUGGUUUAUUUAUAACAUAGGAAAAUAUUUUCUUUUAAAAAAAUUCUAGAAUCUAGAUGAUGUAAAAUAACUUCCACGAAAAAGAAACUAAAGUUAUUUUCCCUAUCUUAAAGAAAUGGAAACACCGAAGCUAAGCAAUCACACACACAGAGACAUACGCUAAGACAAAAAAACUCGGGCAGACUCAAAUCUGAGGAGAUUAACUAAUCUAGAUUCAAAGGGCUGUUCGAGAUCCAUAGUGGAAUCACCAUGAAAUUGGAUGAUAUAUUUACGAGUAUAUGUUGAUUAUUUCGGGCUGUUGUCCUGUACAUUUGGGUGAAAGUUGGUUAUGGCUAUUUUCCUAUCAAAGAUUUUCCAUGAAAGGCUUUUUCCGAAGAAAAAUAUUUUGCUCCCCUCCAAACGGACCCCAAGUGUUUUAACUUCAACCCUUUUCUGUUGUAAUUCUGACAUUCACCAUAGCAGACAGUGUUUUAAAGUGUUAUAGCCUUAACCGUUCUGUCAGUUUUAAAGUGUUGUGACUUCAACCCUUCUGUCGAAAUUCUGAUAUUGACCAUUUACCAUGCGCGUCUGCUUACAUAUGAUUGGAAGCAAUACUUUGUCCAAAAAAUUAGGAAGAGCAACGGAACAAAUGUCUCGGCAUAUUGGAAUCAAAAUAUUUGAGAUCAUAAUCUCCACAACAGGCUGUAUUUUUACUUACACGCUCAAAAGUUCUCGUGCAAAUUAUCUUUAUGACUUCAGCCGCAGCUAGUACUGGACGAAUAUGAAGCGAAGAAACCUUCGAGAAUUCUUGGAUGAGGAUCUUCAAUUGUCAAAUUACCUAAUAGAAGAGAAGGAUAAAGAACACCAUUGAUUCCCCCUACAGGCUGAACACAGAAUGAGCAGAACCAUGCGGGUUUUAAAUAAAAAAAUCCAAUGAAUCAAUAGGCAAAGUUGAGCUUUAGCUAUAGGUAUUGCAUGAGCAAUUUAAAUUAAACUCAGAGUCCAGGUAUAGAUUCCAGAUUGUAUUUCUCUGAAGCAGGAAGUGAAGUUGAUGUCGAAGUUUCAGCCUCGUGAUUCUCAAGCACUUUUGGCUUAUUCAUGGCAUCAAGACUUUGCAAGUAGUUAUAAGAAGCACUGCGAUUUGAUGAGGGACCUGGGUUGCUGAUUCUGCUGGCAAGGAAACGCCGAAUCAAACCCCUGAGGAACGGAGCCAUGGUGUCUGGUUCAUGUUCUAGGUAGUACAUUAUUCCACCCAUACAUAAACAGAAGAGAGCUACCUGCAAACAGUUGAGUGCAAUAAUGAUGAAACUAUUUCUCCUACUAAUUCUUGCUGGUCUAAGAAUUAUCUAAUCUGUGAUUUAUCUAAUCAUAAUAGCGAACUUAUUUUGGUUGAUAAAACAUUUAUUCAAUAGAGUAUCAAAACUCCUGUUCUAUAAGUGAUUUAUCAAACCUAAUCACAUAGAUCUUGAUAUCCCAAUAAAUGUUUCAAAUAUAAAAUGAGGGCACAUGAUAUCCAGAGACAAUAAAGACAACAUGGACAAAUUAUAAAAACAAAAAAAGCAAGCAUAAAAGAUGUGGAAAUGAAAGUAGAUGGAAAAACUAUCCAAGAAGAUAUGCUUAGGAGGGAGGAUGGGCGUAUGAUUGUGAGGGGGAAGAGGGUAGGGACCAUUGCAGUUUGGGCUACCGCUACAUCCAGAUCAAAGGCAAUACCUCAGCAUUCUUUAGGUAAGGCAGCAAAUGUCGGUUCACUAAAAUAUACCACAAAGAAUCCCCAGCUCGUGGAAGAACAUACAAUGCAAGUUCUCCACGUCUAGCUUUCUUCUCCAGCAGAACAGAAAGGCCAGACAUCAAACCUGCAAACCAAUAAACAAGCUUGUGGUCCUUCACUGCCACUUUUCUGUGCAAACAUAUGACAGCCUUCAACAGGAAAGGAGAAACCAAUUAACAAACCCACCAGAGCUGUUUAAACUACAAAGUUAAUAUGAGGUAAACAAGCUACCUGGAAGAUUCCCACAAAAGCAGACAAGAAAGUUGUUGAGCGGACAGCUCCUGUAACAGCAUGCCAACAGGUUCGAAUUGGGGCAUCCAUAAACUGAGAAGAAUGCACAUACAAAAUAUAUGUACUUAAAACAUUGAGAUCAUUAUACAUAAAAAGAAUUUAUUUAAACUGCAUCAUCUCUUCAAGAAAUGCCUAAAUGGGUGAAAUUUUGAGAAUAAAGGUAUAUCUAUAUGAUGUCCUAAAAUGCUGGUGUAAAAUAUGGUAAGUACAAUCUGCUUCAUCAAAAAAAAAAAAAAUAUUAUGGCAGAUCACCUAAUUGUUGUUACGUGAUACCAUCUUUACAUGCAAUCUCACUUAGUACAGCCUAAAAAUGCUAAUCCCAACCUCAACUCUCAACUUUCCAAAAGAAUGCAAGGGAAUACAGGUAGGGGUGAUGAAGGCAGAGUAUUUUAUAUGUUUUAACUUGAGAAUCAAUUUGACAAGUUAGUACAUCAAACUGAUAAAUCAUGUUCAAGAUUUAAAGGUUAUGUACCUUUUGUAGGCGUAGGACAACAAAUGGCACAAAAGUCAAAGAGAAGUACAAAGGAAAUGUUUUCCUGAAAGUAUCCGUCAAUGCUUUGGUAUUGUGCUUUAAACAUGAGUUUGUAUCUGGAUGAAUUAUAGAGCAGGGUAUGAUAGACGGAUAUUCUUCCAACUUCAAAAUGUUGGAGCCCCUUCGCCUGGAUAAGUAAGAAGACAACGACGCAACAUCUACUGGAGAACCUCGACAGCAUUCCCUAACAGCUUUGUACACAGGAUGUGCAACCGGCCCAGUUUUCUGAAUAAAAUCUUGGUAUGAUUUCGGCAGGCUCUCAGGACGCAUUACAAAAGCAUACAUAACCUGGAAUAUGAAGUUGUGCUUAAGAACCAUACACAUGGAUGAUUUCAAUAACACAGCUAAUUAAUACCUCCAGGAAAAAGUAACCAGAAAUUGAAGUCUUUACAACAGCAUCAUUUAAUCCCUUGUUUGAUUAAGUUGUCUUGGAAAUUCCUUUUACAAAAACUUUUCUUUUUAUCCAGUAACAAACAAGAAGCACAAGGCAAUCCAUGAGAAGUUUGAUGCCCACAAAGGGGUCUUAAUGGGACAACAGAGCUGGAGGAUGCCACAGCACUUUAUCAGUUACAAAAUGGAUUCCGUGGAUCUAAUUAUGAUAUAUGAAAUCAUUAUUUAAGGAUGGAGACUAUAAAUCACCUGAGCACAAGCAAUAGAAAAGAGUAAAGAAUCUCCAUGACCCCAAUGGCUCCCCCAGAGGUGGAACUUGUUGUUGGAUUUUGCAGAGUUAUACGCACACUGAGAAAAUAAACAAACUAAUUACACUGCCCACAGACAAAUAAAAGAUGAACAAAAGAUUCAAUCAAAUGGUCCAAUUAUCUAUACAACGGCUAAUUGCAAUCCUGAACAUUGCUUCUCAGGAGAGGGGCAAGGAACACUUCUCCUUUUUCUAUUUUUUGUUUCUUUAUCUCUUUUUUUUUCCUUUUGGUUUUGAGGAGUGGGUGGAAGCAAGUGUAGGAAAACAAGAUUUAGCAUGUUUAUACCUGCGCAACUCUAGCCAAAAGAUACAAUGCAAGUGUUCGCCUCCGACUGGAAUCAUCUAAUGCUAAUAUGGAUAAACCUGCUAUUGAACCUGCUAAAAUUCUGCUCCAUCACCCCCUUUGUUAAUGCCACGUAUGUGGAAUAUAAUACUUCAUGCAUUAAAGUUAACUUUAAUACUCAUUUGCCAAGAAAAGGAUACAAGACAAGAUAUAGGGAGAGGUAUAAGUCUAAAACAGCAUUAAAAAGAGGUUUGAGAAGGUAAACUUACGCAUUCAUUGGGGUCUCUUUCUUCCUCAACUUUCUUAACAAACACCUAAGAGCAUGAUAGGAACCGGUAAAUCCACCAAAAAGCAGACCAAUUCGGCAUGCUUCUUCUCUUACAAUAAGAUCUUUCUCUGAGACAAGUUGCUGCAAUCAAGAUUUAUGACUAAUAAUAAGCUAAUAAGAAAUCCUUAAAUGGGCAUACAAAACAAUAAAAUAUUAUCAUGUAGUAUUGCAAAAUUCCACCAUGUUGACAAAAACCACAAGGCUAUUACAGCAGUAUAAUAAUGCACUGGAUUUAUAAAAAUAAACCACUCCUCUAAUCUGCUCAUAAAAAAUCAUAAAGCAGAAAUCUUUAAACUCUUAAAGGCCACAACAAACUGUCAUCUAUGUCAUAUUAAUCCAUAAAUCUUGAAGACAAUGAAUUAUGGUCUACAAUCUCAUGCUUGAAAUAUGACUGGAUAUAAUUGCUGAACCGAAUAAAUGCUGUGUCUCUUGUUAUUUGAGUGACUUACAAAGAGUUAUAAAAGCAGACAAUUUGUUCGGUAAAAGCCGAUAGGAAUCCAUCAUGUAAAUUAAUGCCCACAAGGAUUAUGAUUAUCUAGUAUCCAAAAGCACUUAAUUCAUUCUGAGUGUAGUUAGAGAUGAUAUCUAACCCUUAAUAGAAGAGAUUAAGCAGGAAUGUUAGUGGACAAUAGGUAGUGAACAUAAUUUCUUUCUCCGGCAGUUGACGUGGGCUGUGCAAAGCGCGCAUGCACAAUGGAAAGACAUUAAAACAACUUUUAAAAAAUCUCUUUAUAAGUAUAUGUUGCGAGACAUACAAGAAGAGAUCGUAAUGAGAUUUUAAAGGUCAUGCAAAGUUUACAUCUCCUCAAGAACAAUUAGAAACUUUAUUCCAGACCAUACUCCAGAAGACCAAACAUUCAAGGCUUGGAAUACUACAUUAAGAAAAUUCUUUUACUAUGCUUUUCUAAAAGCUAAACAUCUUUUCCCAUCUGCUAUAUGCAAAUAAUGUAUAGUUGUUAACCCCAGAUUUGACUUUCUUCAUGGCAAAACUUGAAGUCUUACUCAGCUUCCUCUUCCCCAGCAUGGACUUAUAUACCUUUACUUUGGCAGCAGUAACUAUGACCUCCAUUGAACAUUCUCAAAACAUCUUGUCUCGUCUGAUCACAUCUCCAAACUAAGCUCUUCUAAUAAUGCUACUUAAAAAUCGACAUUUUACUAGCACCCUGAAUAUCUUGACGCACUAAGCAUAGCAGUUCAAUACGCCUGCAUCAUACUAAGAAUACAUUCCUCCAUUUAACUGAUCAUGCCUUGAUUCAACAAUUUUUUUUUUUUUUUAAUUUUCUAUCCUAAUUAUCUAUUUUUCACUCAACCAAAGAUUCCAAAAUCGCCACUUCUUACUAUUUAUAGGCAAAAUCAGUCUCCAUAAGCUAAUAUACCAAUCAAAGUGAAACCAACUCAGUAUCCCACUUGAUCAGAAAUACACAUAAAAGCAAAAGUAAUUUGAAUAAUUUAAGAUCAUAGUCACUAGAGUUGUCAACUGCAAUGCAAAAAGAAAACUGUUGUUAACUUCAGCUCAUUGACAAGUGAAAUCUGCAAAAAUAAAUAAAUAAAUAAAAUCAACGUAUAAAUCCUGGAAUUGAGAUGAAUUAAGGUUGCAGAAAAUCCGCCACUAAAACGAGGUAGUGAUGAAUUAAGAUGAACAAAAUUAUUCUGAUCUAGUUAGUUUAGCAAAAUCCACAAGCAAACAGAAUUGAUAAAACAUAGAGCAGGCAGGAGAUGAACCUUGAGAUCAAGUAGAGAAGAAUAGGACUGACGGCGAACGAGCUUGAAGGCGCGGAGGAGGAUUCCAAUGCCGACGCGAACGCCAUAGGAGAGCAGGAAGCUCUGACAGAGGUUACCGAUGGCGUUGGUGACACAAGACUCAUCCGCAUGGUCGCAUGGCGGGUGAAGCCCACGCGCUGAGCGUUGCCGCCGUUGAAGCUCCUCGAUUGCAUCUCUCAAGCGCUCUUCGGCCUCACGCAGGCGGCGCUCAGCUACAGCUCCACCGGCGAAGGACUCAGACGCGUGCUUUUGGGGCGGGUGAAGCGGAGAAGAGGAAGAGGAAGAGGACGGAGAACGCAUUUUGGUACGAGACAAUUUGGGGGUUUCUGGCUUUCUGCAUCACAGCAGCAUUUGAGUGUUCUUCAAGAGAAAGAGAAAGAAAUUAAUCAUCGAUGUUCCAGACGUGGAAAUUUCGGAAUCAUCAAACGGCUGAGAUGACGGUGUUGGAGAAGCAAAAUGAAAAAGGUGGCGACCGUUUUGAUGUGAAUUGGGUCGCGUAAACGGGAUGGGGUUAAUGUGUGCCGCCGCCGUGAGAGAGACGGAACGGUACUAUACGGCUUUGACUGCCUAUUUUUUUUUUCUGAAAAAGAUUGACUGGCUAUUCAAGACAAGACAAGAAAGGAUAUCCUUCCGACCUUUUCAGUUCAUCUCAAAUUGACGUAUAGUCUCAACGUGUCUUGUAAAAUAGGAGUCCUACUUUUCUUGCGUCAUUAUUACUCUCUAAAUUGUUAUACAUUGAUUAGUAUGGAGGACAGGAGGAGGGCUUCACAACCUUUACAAUGAACAAAAUUUUUUUUCCAUAACAAAACUAGUUCUAUUUUAAGAGCAUUGCUACUUUUAAUUGCAAUAAUAUGUAUGUGUUGGUUGCCUCAAACAAAAGGAUAUACUUUUUAUAAUAAUAUGAUUAAUCUUUUACAUACUCAUAAUAUAAUAUAUAUAUAUACCGUUAUUAUUUGAUAAUAUAUGAUAACUGAUCUAUCUAAUCCAUCGAGACAAUACGUACAUGCACUGUCAGUGUAUAUAUAUAAGAUUUACUCGUAAUAAUAAUAAUGAUAACAAUAAAUGGAUAAGCAGGGAAAACAACCUAUAUCCAUUCCCUAGCCCACGUUGUUGUCCGACGAGCGCAACUAUGACUUAUGUUCUAUUUGAGAAGUCACCAACAAAAGAAGAGAAAAGAAAAGAAACACCAGCAUUAGUACACUAUUAUCAGUAUUUCAUAGUAAUUAGAGAGUUGGAAGUAGACAGCUUAUUGUACAAAUGCCUACCAGCAGUUUUGUUGUAUCCCAAUGGAAACGGAAGAACGAUAUGCUACUACAACGUAUGCAAACAGAAAUAACAGCCUACAAUUGAUCAUGCACUUCGCGUGUUCGAAGAAGUCUUCCGUUUGAGGCUGUUCUGGUUUGCACCAAAUGCCGACCAUAUGCCAAAUUCCUGUCCAUGAUUCAGGGUCAGUUUGACAUUUGUCGUGUUCGACUAUUACAUGCCAUAAUUUCAGCUUGGAAAUCGCAAUUCUUAUUGCACUGCAGAAAGAUAUCGGAUCAAGAAGCUAAGACACGGAUGAUAUACAGCUUGUGAAAGUCACCAGCACGCACUCUCAUUGAAAAUUACUCGUACGCAUUUGCAUGCACAUCAAUCCAAGAACUUCUUCUUUUGAUGAGAUUAAACUAACGCACGCUAAUCUGAAGCACCACUACGAUCGUUUUGAUCUUGCCAUGAUGCUUGCCAUUGCUUGUCGGAGAAUGUGGCCUCUUCUGCAAGCCUUUGUAGGUCUUCUUUCCGUCUGAAAAAGACCACACCGAUGACUGUGAUGAAGAGGGCAGCCUUGCACGCAACACUGCCAGUUUGGCCUAACACAAUGAGCCCUCGCCAAGGCAUCCACCAUAUAGGACAUGAAAAAUCCCAACAUUGAUAACGUGUAUUGGUUCGAAACAAAUACGGGUAAUAACUUUUACACCUGCAAAAAUCACAGCAUGCCAAUCCAUUUUGCCACGCUUAACGAACAUGUUGAGAUCCCACGUCCCAUUCUUCCAUCUUUUAUCAAAAAAUUUUGGAGCGGAAGAAUCCGCUUCUGUUGGUUGUUUUCCAUCCUUGGCCCGCUUUAAUACCGGAGUUAAGACAAGAGGAUAGUUUCCUGUUUGAGUUAAAGUAAUGCGUUUAUGGCCUUCUUCAGAAUUCGAGGUGAUUGUAUGCGUCUCCUGCUGUGCGCCUAAAGAGCUUGCCCUUUUUAUUCGUGUGCCUCCAGGCGAUUGUUUCUUGGUAAAACACUGGGAGGUGCGAGAUCUUGGUAUUGAGGCCGAUUGAUGCCACGGGUGCCGAGCUUCUGUCGUCCCUUUCUUACAAUCCUGUGUAAUUGACUGAAAUUUGGAGAGGGCAAAGCUAGUAAACAAGCCAAGCCAUGCCUUAGUAGGAAUAUAUAACCUUAUCCUCCAGCCAGUGCCUUGCUUCAGCAACAUCAUGGGCACUUCAAAACCCCAUGCUCUGCACCUGCUUCUAUUGGUACAUGACAAAUAGGGGCAAAUCUCCCGGAUAUUUUCAUUUCAAAAGCAACACCGUAAAUGCCGUUUUAAGUUCUAGAAACCCACCGGCGCUUUAUGCUUUGAGGCAACGAAACCAAAAAUGACAAUAAGCAAUUCUUUUUCAUUAAAUUGAGAUUGUAAAAUUUAUACACUUCCCAAGUUCAUUAAUCAAUGCUUUUCUGCAUUUCCAAAACAUAAUGCUGUUCUUCAAACAAAAAAGAAUGAUAAUUCAGAAGUCUCUAUAGCUUAAUAUAUGAACCAUUGAGAUUAAGCAACAUAAUGCAGCCAGCUCAACAGGGCCACGAGCUAUUGAGAUUCAAUUCAAUUUGCCGUCUUCCUGUGAAUUUCGGCGACUAAAGUAGGCAACCACGAAGAGGUUAAAUUAUGCUUCCCAACCCCUUAACAGGGUAGCACGGGCGACACGAUUCACUCCUAGUGUGAAUGCACCCAUGCGGAGGUUGCAAUUGUGUGUCUGGCACAUGUUCUUGAUGUUGUGAAAGGAUCUUGUCAUGUAUUUCUUAAGCUCAUUGUUUACUUUAUCUUCAUCCCACAUGAAACCUUGUAUAUUCUGCAAAACAAGGUCAAUUCUAUCAGCUCCUAUUAGCCAGUCUGCAAGAAAGCUCAGACAGCUUACUAUGCGUUCUCUAUAUAUAAAUCUUCCAUACAUCACACUGAAAGCCUAACACAUAAAGUCAAACUCCUUGUACACAAAUAAUUCUUGUUUCGAAGCAAACUAGACACAAAUACUGGACUAACCAGUUUUUAAUUUCAGGAAGUAUACUUUACAAGCCCCAGUGCCAUUUAUGUGAAAUGGGACUUAAACAAAAACAUGUGUGGAUGAUUAUGAAAAAUGGUUUUUGAUAAACGAUGCCUGAAUAUGCUCGAGCGGUGCUUGAAAGAAGAAAAGCUAUAAAACUGAAUUUAUGGUAAGAAAUGAAGUAUACAAUCCUAAAUUGCAGAAUUCAACCAAUAACUGUACCUGAACCCACUCAAAAUAACUGACAGUUACACCUCCAGCAUUAGCAUAUAUAUCAGGAAGAAUGAUGACCCCUUUCUUGGACAAAAUCUGCAAGUUCAUUGCAUGUUUUUAGAUAUAUUGCACUAUACUUGCUCAAUAAACCAAAAAAAGACCUGGCAAAAGUGGCACCUCAUCAGCUUCUGGAUCAGUAGGAUGGUUGGCAGCUUCUAUAACAAAUUUAGCCUUGACAUGGUCUGCAUUUUCCCUUCAGUCGCGAAAAGUUCAACAAAUACAAAAGUUAGAUGCUAUACAGAGCCAUUUUCUUUAUUCCUUCUAAAGGUGUUCUAAUUUAUAAAAGACUAAAUAAACAAAACAAAGAGGAAUCCCCUUGUAUCAGAAAAGAAACCAGCAGGGUUCAGAUACUUCAAAAGAGCCUCAUGAAAAGCAUUUUUAAGCAACAUUAAUUUUUUUUGAACUCUGAAAACAACACCAAAAGGUUUCUACGCUGAGACAGCAUAGAGUACCAUGCACAUAUGUACUUACAAUGGACAAAAAAGAUAUACUUCUCUCAGCUAAAGUACGUCAAAGGAAAAGCUAUUUUAGGUGUAGAAAACAAAUUGAGAAAAGGUGUAUGUGACAUGCACUUCAUCAAAGAUUCUUAGGGAGAUUCAAUCAAACAGGAAAUGUUAAAAGUGGGUUAGAAAAGAAGAUGGAGAAAGCAUAUGCACAUGAUGACAAGUCUUAGUGGCAAACCUGUUCAGAACUCCACCAAGAGCACAUGGGAUCAAAACAUCACAUUCAUGUACAAGCAAAUCAUUUGGAUCCAAGGCAUCUCCACCGCUGAAAUUAGCUAGCUUUCCAGUUGUAUCUUUAUGAGUUAGCAGUCCUGGAAUAUCAAUCCCGUUGGGGUUCUUAAGUCCUCCUGUUAUAUCGCUCACUGCAACAACUUUCCCACCUUUCUCAUGAAUAAGCUUUGCAGCCCAAGAUCCAACAUUGCCAAACCCCUAAGCAACACAUGGUUUCAUUACCAGCUCAGCUUGCAUGAGAAUUUGUACAAUGUAUAGUUGAUGUACAUGAUGAUAUAACUUAAGGACUGAAUUAGUACUUGAAUGGCAAAUGUCAUGUCUUUAAUUGACUUCCCAUAUUCAGCAAGUAAUGCUUCAGUGGCAAACACAACACCACGCCCAGUUGCAGCCUCCCUACCUAAAGAUCCACCAAGAUCCUAGCAUAACAAACAUGAAUUUAAUUCAUCCCUUAGUUAUAUGGCAAAUCAUAAAACAUCCUCAUGAUCUAACUAGACAUAGUCUGCGCAUGCUUUUUAAUACCAAAGUACUUACGAUGGGCUUUCCUGUUACAAUAGCAGGUGAAUGACCGUGAAACUUCGAAUACUCAUCCAAAAUCCAUGCCAUUGUCUGAUCAUUCAAAUUUUUAAAAUUGUAAAGCAUCCAAGGAUAUAUAUAAUCCAGAUCCAAAAAAGAAGCAUAUAAGGAUAUAUACAUAUAUAUAUAAUUGAGAUCCAAGAAAUAAGAAUAGUUAACCACUUCUGUAAAAGCAAUCUAUGUAUUAAUGGGUAGUAGAAAUUUCUAUACCUGGGCAUUAGUGCCCAUGUCUGGUGCAGGAACAUCAGUAUUAAUUCCAAUAAGAUCGUGAAUCUUCUGUGUGAAGACCCGUGUAAGGCGCUCCAACUCACUCGUACUUAAUUCCUUAGGAGUGCACCCAAUCCCACCUUUAGCUCCGCCAUAUGGAAUGUCAGCUACAGCAGUCUUCCAAGUCAUUAAUUGAGCAAGAGCAUUGACUUCAUCAGGAUCCACCUAGCAGAAGCACAUCAAUAAAUGCAUAAGAAACAAAGUCUAUUGUCCAGAAUUCAAUACACUAUUUAGCGCUUUUCUCGCUUUACCAGCACAUCAAAGAUAAAUCUUCGUUAAAACAUACUUUAAACUUAACUCAAACGAGCAAACUGUAAUGUUUUCUCUGCAAACAAAUACUAUGAAAACUUAUAAUCAUUCAUAUGAGAUUCAAUUUUAACUACCCAAAAGCAAAACUAGAGGCACUCAAGCAGGAUGGGGAAGGAUUACAAUCUCAAAGACAAUUUUCUGAAGACAGAAACAGAAGUGCAUGAAUGAUUAUCAAGUUGAAACAGCCCAUCUAUGCAAUAAAGGCGAACAGUUCAUCAUGUAUCACCUAGUUGGGUAGUUGGAUUUGCCAAAUGCUCACGCCCAACUCCAAGCAUAAUGAAUGGAUACAAACUGGGACUAAUUGGAAUGUUACACUACAUCUGAGCAUGACAUCCUGUUUCGGUGAUGCUAAAAACAACAACAGUAACAGAUGAUACAAAACCACAUACUAAACUUUUCUUUCUUUCAAAUUCACAUCAGUGUAUGCAUAAAUCCUGCAUAGGAUCUCUUUCUUACAAAGUACAUUACAACUCACAAUCCUUACUCAUAGGGGCUCCAUUGUUCAGCUUUUGCUAAAAGGCCUCCAACCACUUCCAGGAGGAGAGAGGUUUAAAGCAUUUUCUCAAAUUUGUAACUUCUCAUUUCGAUCAAACAAUCAACACAACACUGUACCCCGACCUCCGCACCCCAACCCCAAGAACCCAGUACAAUAUAACAGAAUAAAUUUGAAUAAGGUGUCAUGCUGCUGGCUAGCGAUACUAAACAGAUCUCAGGUGAACCACAAACAUUUAAGGAUCCUAAAACCAUAUCCCGUGAUCGUAUAAUCAAUUUCAGCUGCAAUGAAACACAUGCAUGAUUCAAGUGGGUGAAUGCCGAACCAUGAAACAAAGACAUGAACGACCAAACAAGAAGAGAAAAACAAACGCCGAUCUUGUAAAAGCUUAGAUUUUGGGAAAUAAAAAAUGAAGAGAAAAAGAUCACCUCAGGAUGGUAUCUGAUGCCUCCCUUCAUGGGUCCACGAGAAUUAUCAUGUUGCACUCUGAAUCCAACAAAAGACACCAGACCUCCAUCAUCUUUUGGAAUGGUACACUCAACCUGAUCACACCCCACCAAAGAAACGUUCUUAAGCCACCCCCUCCGAAAAAAAAAGACAAAAAAAAAGAACAACAUGAUUCAAAAGGCAAAAAUUCUUUCGAGUGUUACCUUGAUUUCCCUGAAUGGAAUCAAAAGACUUUUCUCAAUCUUUGAAUCAAGGCCAAGAAUACGGGCCGCUUGGCGAAAGUUACGAUUGGUGGCUGCAAGUGCAUUCAUGGCUGCUCCUAUAAAAAUGAAACAGAAAACUGAAAAAGAGCAAAUGUUCUGGCAGUUUAGCUAUACUAUUCAAUCUACACUCUCUACUCAAGGCCAAGCAUACCCAUAAAUAUAUGUCUAUAUAUAUAUAUAUAUGUAUAUGUAUAUAUACACGGAGUACUUUUGACUUUUGGGAGAUGCUGGGGAGGGCAGGGAUUUGGCCGGGGUUACCGGAUGGGGAUAAAUGUUGACUGGGACGGGAGUCAGAUUGGACGAUCCCAGCAGUCACAUAGCUGUUUUAAGGGAAGUCAAUUGGUUUAAGGGAAACGCACGAGGAAAUUUGGCAGGAAAAAAUAUAUUUAAAAAAAAAAAAAAAAAACGUAACCACUAAGCAGGUCUGGGCGACCAACCUCACUUUUUCUGGAAUUCCGGAGAUGCCCCUUUUCGUGUAAUAAACGGGAGAUUCGACAGAGCCGUUAAGGCACUAAUCACUAUGUCAUUAGUUGAAUACGAUUGUUAAAAUGAAUACUCUAUCUCCAGGGUAUGAUUAUGAUUAUAUAUUCAACAAAAUCUUAUGGUACUUUAGAAUUUCCAUUGAACAUUUAUCUAUUAGCAAACUCCCUCCAAAUCUUUAAUAGAAAACCGCCAACAAAAAUUAAAAAAUAAAAAUACAAUAGUACAUCUUGAAGUUAUAGUGGAAUCGAAGAUAUGGCGCUUAAACAAAUUAUUCCCUCCGUCCCAUUUUAAUAGUAUUUUUUUUUAUUCAUUCUUCUCAAAUUACAAUCCACUUUUCAAUUAAAAAAUAUAAUUAACUUAUAAAUUUUCUAAAAUACCCUUAUUUAAUGUACUUUGUUAUUAGUGCGUAUAAUCUAUAUUAUUCAUUAAUUGCUUGGAUUCAUGUCUUGAAUGAUGCAACUUACCAUACUAUUGUUAUUGUAAUUAAUGUAAAUACAUAGUAAUUAGUCAUACACUUGAUAAUAUUAAUGUAAGAAUAUUUUAGAAAAUAGUAGAUUAGAUUUACUCUUCCAAUAAAGUUAACUAAUUUUUUUCAAACUGUGUGAAAAAGAAAACAAAAACUAUUAAAGUAGGAUAGAGGAGAUUAUUAACGUGUGUCGCAAGUAACAAAAAAGACUAUUCGGUUGAAAGCAUAAUUUGGCAAGGAAAGUGAUUUUGAAGGAUGAAGACAUUAAAACAACCGUAGACCAGUGUGCCUUUGAUGGAUUAAAUUUGUCUAUAACUUACCUUAUUCAUUAAUUGCUUUGAAUCAUGUCUUGAAUGGUGUAACUUUCCAUCAUAUUGUUAUUGUAAUUAAUGUAAAUGUAUACUCUUAAUUAGUCAUACUUUUGCUACUAUUAAUGUAAGGAUAACAGCCGUAGACCAGUGUGCCUUUGAUGGAUUAAAUUUGGCUGAUAACCUACCUUAUUCAUUAAUUGUUUUGAUUCGAGCCUUGAAUGGUGCAACUUUUCAUAGUAUUGUUAUUGCAAUUAAUGUAAAUAUAUAGUAAUUAGUCAAACUCUUGCUACUAUUAAUGUAAGGAUAUUUUAGAAAAAUAAAAGAAUAAGUUAACUAAUUUUUCUCAAACUGUAUUAAAAAGAAAACAAAAACUAUCAAAGCAGGACGGAGGGGAUUUAUUAAACUGUGUCGCAAUUAACAAAAAGGACUAUUCGGUUGAAAGCAUAAUUUGGCACGGAAAGUGAUCUUGGAGGAUGAAGACAUUAAAACAACCGGAGACCAAUGUGUCUUUGAUGGAUUAAAUUUGGCUGAUAAUCUAAACUCGCGCACCACGCGGAUUCAACUGCAUAUACGUGUAAACAAUUAACACGUUAGGAAUACAGUCUAAUCAAAGCUCUAAUACUCGAUUAGUUGAUAACAAAUUUUACAGCGUCAUCUCGAACAUAAAAAAGACACUAGGAAAAACAAAAAAAAAAGAAGAUAAAUUGCUAAUUAUACUUGUUCAUAACUCUAUCCUCCAAAAUAUAGGGAAAACGUUCAGACUUCAUCGCACAGCUGUAGUAGUUAAAUCCAAGUGCCACAAAUUAAUGUUUGAUUUACAUACUACUGGCCUAGAUUAUCAUCUAGCUGCUUUGAUUAUUUCAAUCACACGUGUUUGUUAUUGCCUUAUUUUUCACAGUUGUAUGAUUUUUCAAAUAUUUUACUCAAUUCAAUCCUACUCUGAACGGGACACCUCGCAUUCAUAUUUGGACCGUAGCCACCUGUUGGGGCUGCGGGAAGGUUAUCCGCCGGCAGCUUUACAUGAAUCACGAAUGACGAUUUUUGCCACCCCUGAUACAGAUUCAUGGACGGAGCCCACCAACGAAGACGCCGCGCAGCGCCAACGCACUGGAUGACGUGGAUCUUACUAGGAAGGAAAAUCGUUUUCCAUUACGAGAUUGAUUGAUACUAGUAAUUUAACCCCCAAAAAAAAAAAUUAAUAAAAUAAAAAUACUCCAUCUCCAUCUCCAUAUAUAAACAAAAAGAAGAGAGCACGUGGCAUUGCGGUUGGACGCUGCGAGCCACCGACGUUCUCAUCUCACCUAACACCGGAAGCUAGUGCUAGGCUGGACCAAUAAUUGAUUAACAAUUUCUGGGAAUUAGUUAGCGCAGAUUUGGUCAACGGAGGAGAAGGACAUGGAUAAGGCCAUCGAGUAGUACGUGGAGACUCGCUGGAGUCAGAGAUUUUUUUGAAGGAAGACCAUGAUGCUGAGAUUGACCAAAAAAUAAUAAUAAUAAUUGGAAAAUUUAGGCAACUUUGUAAAAGUUCUCUCUAUAAUUUGUUCAAAUCUCAGGUCAACUUCUGUUCAUUAUUCGUGGCUUUCCUUGAGUACUGAUGAUGAUGGAAGGAAUGUAACACAAGUGUAACACAUGGUGUUAAUAAAUCAUGAAACCAUAAAUCAGAAUCGAGAAAAUUAAAGAUUUCAAAUAGGAGUAAGGUUACACUAGCUCCAGCUCUGUUACGUCUGUACAACUGGAAAGCCAAAAAAGUAGGGAGAAUAAGCACAACCAGAAGUUUGCCUGAGUCCAGUUUCAAGAAGGCAAUUUAUAUUUGCAGCACAUUUGAAUAAUCUUGUCUCUCCAACCAGGAUCCUAAAAGCUAACAAGCUUUCAGAAGCAAUAGGAAGAGAGUGCUGCAUCCAUUCAUAUUCACCUGCAACGUAAAUACAGGAGCACAAGGCAACUUUAGCCUUCUCGCGUACACAAAUAUUACAAUUCUUGUUCAACUAUUAAGGUGAAAAGACACAGUACUAUUUCGCUCUAGUAGUAGUAUUGUCUCAAAAGUAACCUGCAGGUACAAAACACUUGUUUUUUAACAUAUCACGUGGAAAGUUCUCAACGACAAAUCAACAAUUACAUCUUGAGUUCUAAGCAACCUAAACGAUCAAGAAAAACAAAAUGGAAUCUAUUUACGAGCACUCAGACCUUAAUGAAACUCUUAUUAGAGGAAACAUGCCAACUGAAAGUGCGAUGUAGCAACCAUUGAAACUUAAUUGAGCAGUCAAUACUUACUGUUUUCUAAUAUAACUUCAAAAACAGACAAUCAUCAAUAAAAAUCAAAUUUAAAGAAAACUUAUAAAUCCGAAUAUUUACCAACAAUGAUGAAAUAACUGACGUACUCGUUUCCAUUCUCUGUACAAUCAUGCUUUCUCGGUAUUAUGCUGUUAAAUGGACUAAAGUUGGGUGCAUUACCAGAUUUCUGUAUGAGCAAUGUCCAACCAAGCAGCUCAGAUAUUUGCUCACUCAAACAACAAAUUGCACUCAGUACUCAUUUGAGAGGUGAUAUGAAGCAGCAUUUAUCAUCAUUGACAAAAAUUUAUUUGGCAUAUUUCACCAUCAACUUUUGGAUCUGCAGCAGAAGCACUAACAGUUUUGGGAAACAAAACAGAAUGACGCUGAGAGACAUGAACAAGCAUGGAGAACAGAUGGGAAUAACAAAUAAUAUUCUUUAGUUCUUUCUCUCCAGCCAGUAGAGAUGUACACAAAUGUGAAACCCGAAAAAUACAUAACCAUCACAACAUAUUCAUUGCACGAACCCUACUGAAAUUUCAGAACUGAUGAAGAAAUUAUCUGGACACGCACUGUACCUCAAUCUAGUGAAGCCCAAGAGUGUAAAGAUAGCAGUACCUUCAAUAGUUUAUCCCAUGCACAACACAGUUGCUCAGAGAUGAAUGUAGUGUCAUCCAUCUUUCCUGCCAAAAAUAAAAAUUGUUUAGAUAAGAUGAGUUGUUAAGUGCCUUGUGUAGUAAGUUGCUUAAUACGUAUGCGGCUAAAAGGACUCAGUUGGAUAAAUGUUCGAAGUCAAAGAUAAAGCAACAAUAGAAAUGACAAGAUUAUACUUUCUCUUUCUUCGAUCAACCCCACUGUUUCUGGGAUCAUUCUUCGGAAAAGCAGAUCCAGAGGGAAUGGCAUAUUGCAUUGGAGAGAGUGCUGAAGCUGCUGGAGAAGGUACAGGACCAGGAGAAGGAGCAGAUAAAGUUGUAGGCGGUCCAGGUGGAGGUGGAACUGGAGUGGGAAUAGAUGGAGCAGCACUAGGUUCAGGAAGAGGCCUUGGAAGGAUAUGCUUCAAUCGGUUGUUUCGAUAGUUCUUCCAAAAAUAGAACUGCUGCCUAUGUGCCAAUUCCUACAAUGUCCAGAGUGUACACCAAAAAGAUACGUUGAGGAACCAAAGCAUAGCAUUUCAAUGAACACAAAAGAGGAAUAGAAUUCUAUAUAAUUUUACUGAGUUUCCUUGUUCUCAUACAAUUUUGGCUUUUGCAAUCAUGUUGGAGACAACUACAUUUUUAACAAAAAGCCUAUAUCAACCUAAUAACUAAGGAUCAAUUGUUUUGGCUUUCCCAAUCUCUUCAAGACUUUAAAGCCAAAUUACCAUAUACAGCAAGAAAUGUUCCUCAAUCAUAGCAUCCAUAAUAUGGGUCUACAAUCCCAGCAAGCUAGAUGUAGGCCAUUCAUCAAGAAAAUUCCAGAGCAUUUUUACUUUCUACCUAAUUUAGCAACCUUGACAAAACUUUUCCAUCCCCUGACUGAGGCUCCUUCCGAGCAGUAUCCACAAAUGUACUAAACAUGCUUCUUCUAACCAACAGAGUCAACUAGAGUGAAUAUAAAAUUUCAAAAACUUGCUUUCAUAAUAAGAAAGAAUACAAGAGAUUAAUCCUCAGAAAUUCAACCAAGUAGCAACAUUUCUUUUUAUAAUCCAAAAAAAUCCAUCUUAAUGAAGGAUGAUGGAACAAUCAUCUUCUUUUACACGUCACCUCAUCUAUUAAUGAUUACUUUUCAUCUAUUAAGAAUUGGCCUUACCAAAGUAAAAGAAAUGCUGGAAGACUUGAAGAGUUCAAAUCCAAAUACAUACCACUCAUCCAAAAGAUCUAGUUCCAAACACCCAAAGAAGGGUUGUAUAAUGCAGAAGUCAAGGUUCAAUUAAAACCAGAAUGAAAUUGUUUGAACGCAGGCAGCUAUAAUUUGAAUGCAACAUCAUUUCCAGGACAUGUUCAUUGAUAUUUUACUCAAAAUCACCAUAAAAUUGACGUCGAAUGAGGACAAUCAAGAUUAAGAUAUUCAAUUAAUCGAGAAAACAAGAGUCUAACCCAGAGCUCUAUUUAUUCUCAUUUUUUUGGUUAUAAGUUCCUUGCAUAUGAUUUAUGGAUUAAUUAUGAGAAAGCACUGGAGUGACUGGAGGAGCUAUAUGAAGAAGCCCCCCCCCCCCCAAAAAAAAAAAAAAAAAAAAAAAAAUGACAGUAAUUAGCAUCAAUUUUUUGUCAUACCAUUAAUUCAAUCGCAGUAAAAGAUGACAAUGCCUUGCAUUUCUUUCUUUUCAACAAUAAAUGCGCUUGGAGAAGAAGCAGAAAGCAAGGGCAUAGGAAAUUAGACAGACUCCUACUAUUACAGCCCACACAACAUAAACAUAAGGAAAAAGGAGAUAUGGAAUACACAAAUAGGUCUUGAAAAUCCAGACCUUGUUGGCAGGAUGGGCCAUUGCAUUCCGAAAGUUGGGAUUUUGGAGAAGCUCGAGAAAGAAAAGGCAAUGUGGAUACCUAAAGACAAUUCCCAAAAAAAUGAGCACUCAUACAGCCAAAGUAUAAAGCCUACAGGAAAUUAGCAGGGGAGCUCCAUAAAAAAAGCAACAGAACUUCUAAACUCACAUGAUAAACUUAAUGUACUCCGGGAGUUGCCAAUACUGGAGAUACUUCAAAUACCCAAUAAAUGCUUCAUCUUCAAAAUAUCGAUUCUGCGCUAAAUCUAUAGCAGAAUUUUCAAAUUGAACUGAGCACACCACACAACUUCAACACAAAUACAUACUAAUUAAAAACUACUAGUAGCAUAGUAUACUCCAUAAUAAGCACAGUAAACCACGUAAAAUCCAAGCCCAUAGCAUUCUCCUUCCAUAGUUCUUAGCUCUACCGGAAAGUAACAGAACUAUCAUUUUUGCAACAUACUAGCAAACUAGACAGUUUAACUAGUGCUAAAAAUUUUAAAAAAAGAAAGGACGAUUUUAUGAUCGAAUUACGGAUAAUAAAAGUGAAAAGUAAUGGGAGGAAGAAGAAGAAGACGAUACAGUGGAUGUAAGUGGGAUUAGCGAGGCAUUGAACGAAUUCCAAUUCAAGUAAGAAGCGUUGCCGACCAUCAUCUGGAUCUUUAUAUACAUUCUUCUUCGGCCUGAAACCACGGAUUUAUAUUUUCAUUUACAAAGAGCAAAAAAAAAAUCUUUUAAAAAACAAUCUUAAAAUUUGGGUAAUUCAGAUUGGGACGCAUUAUUCUCGCAGAAUGGGUUAUCUUACGAGGAAGGUGGCUUUUCAGAGUCGUUGGCAUCAUUAUUGGAAGCCAUUAGUGGGUUUCUUCUUGUGGCUAAACUAAAGCCCUAAAUUGCAUACUCUCGUUUCGAGACCUUUUUUCUGGAGAAGGGGAGUCGAAACGGUAUUCGUUAGACAACUAUUUGAGUCGAUUAAUUACCCCGUUGGUGAAGCAAAUUCUUAAUCAAAACAUUUUUUUCAGGUUUUAAACGUCGUUAAUUUUGUUUCCCUUUUUCACAAUUACAUACAGUCGUGGGUUUUCAAUAUAAAUAUAUUGUAAUGUUCUUUAGAUAGCUUCUGAAUCGUAGGUCAAGGCCUGUUGGCACCUUUACCAAUUUACCAAAUGCAAUCCCUUACCUGAGGUAAUAGUCCUGUACUCGUUGGCUUCUUCAGUUUUUCAAAAUUUAAUUUUUUAAAUAUUAUAAAAAUUUUUAAAAAGCACACUAAAAAAUAGUCUAAAAAAUAAUUUAAAUUUUUUUAAUAUUUAAAAAAUAUCCCAAAAUACAUUUUUAAAAUCUACUACUCUUAAAUAUUUUAAAAUAUUGUUAAAAAUAUCUCAAAAUGUACUCUAAAAGCUCUACUAUAGUAAAAAAUUUUAAAAAUAGUUAAUUCAAACGGAGUCAAAAUUGUUAUAACUAUUUUGUUUUCAAAAAAAAAAAAUUGUUCUAACAACAUUUCUUUUUCUUACGUACAUCCUACAGAACAAUACAGUCAACAAUACAAAAUUUUUAUUUUAAAAAAAAAAAUCUUCAAUUUGAUUUGCAACUGUACGACCUUGAUUUGCCGAAAGAUAUUUUAUUGUAAACCGUCCGUAACAGUUUCAAACAGCUCCUCAGAUCGGCUCCCUUUCAGCAGACUCGCUCCUAUUGCACCUAAAGUCCUAAAUGCAGUUAGUUCUUCCAUGAGCAUUUCAUAACUUUUCCAAAUUACUUACCCACUCGAAGCCGAUUAGAAUGUCUGCUUUAGAAAUUUGCUUUUUCUAAACAAACACAGGCCUCCUUUGAUCCCAAGCAAAAGAUUCGCAUUCAUUCACCAACUUGUCCAUUUCGCAGACCAUUAAACACCAGAUUUUGUAGUGUUAAUCUUUUCCGGUACAAAGGAGGACCAUAGGCCUAUCAGCUAGGGACUGACUGCGGAAUGGAAAUCCCAAUUACAUCAUACCUGAGCCCCUUCUUUCUUGGGUUGUGUUAUCAAUUCCGGCCGUAAGCUGACUUGAAAAGAGAGAUCAAAGCAUGUAACCAGAAAUAACUGCAGAGUAAUCAUUCAAAUAUUUCCUUCAAAGCCCUAAUGGGAUUAUGGAAUUAACCCACAGCUAGUCUAAAGCAUCUCCAAUAGAGUCAAUUUGAACAAUGCCUACAAAGUACAAACAAGGGCUCGAAAGUUGCUAGUACGAGGCCUGAGGUCACCUCGGACUAACUUGAAACAACAUUUUUAUCAGUUGAUUACAACAUACUAUUGUUGUCCUAUAAUUUGUCACCUACAUAACACCAAAACAAUCUGCGAGCUACAUGUAUGUUUCAGAUAUUAAUUGAAGUUUCCCUGCUACCAUUGCAUGCU
rnacentral:lncRNA from 1 species